CAGUCGCUUUCUUCGCAACCAAAGGUGCGAAGAGGAUCAAAUUACUCGUCUUCCUCAGGUAUUUCAUCCUCUCAGUUGUCCAUCUGAUUGCUGCAUCUUAAAGAAUGUGAUAAUUAUUUCUAAUUUUUAUCUUGUCUAUUCAUUUGCUUGGUGUCUUAGAUCUGAUUGGUCUUCAAGUGAAAUAUCAUAGCAUGAUGUUUUGUUUUAGGUUUUGAUAGAUUUCUUUGUACUAUGUCUUUGACAUUAUUUAUUUUGGUUAAAAUGUUAGUUGACUCUUCAUUCGGUGAAUUAUGAAUUUAUUACAAUGGAUUUAGCCAAAGACAUAUAAUCUUCAUUUUUCUCUAUCAUGAAUCUUAGCAAAUUAUUCACUACUUGCUUCAUCAUGAGUUCUGGAUUGAAAUUCCUUUUGUCUAUGAUUUCAUCCAGUUUUAAAAGAAACUUUGAGGAGAAAUCGCUGGAUCCUCCUCCAUUGUCUUAGGCCAAUUCUGUCUUUCUUUAUGCCUGGUUUUGUGUUUCCCUGCUUAUAAAAUAUUUUGCCUGAUUUUCUGGAGAUUUGGUGAUAGGAUAGUAAAUAAAAAAUGUGGAGGAGGCUUCCAAAAGGCAGUGGCAGCAGAAGCAGCCAAUCUCUUGGAGGCCACAGGUCCCAGUGGGAUCAAACCAAGUGGUACUUUAAAGAUAUGUUUAGAGGAAGAGAAUGAACUGAAAACAGCAGGUUCAUCAAUUGAUGAAUCUGAAGAAAAUGAGGAUGCAAAGUUUGCAAGACUAUUGCACGAAGAAUACUGGAAAUCGAUGAAACAAAAAAAAGAAACCUCUACCACAUCCGGAGGCAUUGGUGUUCACGUCCCUUGAGAUUACGCUACAAUUAUUGAUGAUGUACAAAUGUGGUGACAUGGAUGAUUGCAUCUCAACCACUGAUGUUGCUGAAUUAGAUGCAUCACUUGAUGAGAAGGUGAAAAACGAUUUGCCACUGCCAGGAACUUAUCAAUGGAGGGCCUCCCUAUGGUGGUGUUCUUUCUUGUUUUUCUUCUGAUAUGAACAGGUUCAACACCAGUACAAUUGAGUUCAGUAUGAAAUGAUACUGGCAUUCUUAUCGAGGUAGGGAAUUCGAACUUGGACCUGUACCACCAUUCUAUGGGAGAGUAACGCCUUAUAGUGGUGAAGCUUUUCUCUUCGAUAGAAUGCAGGUAGAGGUCCAAGUGUGAUUCCCACUUCGGAAUUCCCCAAGUGUUUGUAUUCAUUUCAUUAACUUUAGCCUAUGAACCCAAUUUGGAAAAUCUUACUACGUUGAAUCUUGAAUGCAAUAUUCCUUAUCAGAUUACUGCUCGAUCAAUUGAUUCAGUGUGUUUGGACACAAAUUACAGAAUGUUUAUUGUGGUUGAUUUUCAGAAAUUGAUUGUAGCUAUCAAUUACGGAGAUAAAUUUAUAUUUAUGUUUAUUAAAAUUUAAUUCCACCCCACCAAUUUGAUGAGAUAUGAACUCAUUAUGCAUCCAAAAAUGAAUACAAGUACAACAAUAAGUUAUUUUUUUGAACAUUGAAAAUAACACGAUCUAUUUGCAUGUCGUGCAUAGAAGAAUUUUCUAGCAUAGAUAAUAGGAAACUUCCGACGGAAAGUUAGUAAACUAAAUAAUGUUGAUCAAAUUUGUAGCCUAAAAUAGCAAAUUCAUCUCUUAAAAAGUUUGCAUAUGCAAUAUUUGUAAUAAAUUAGCGAAUCACAACUUUGACCAAUUUACUGGACGGCCUCAACAAGAAACGUCGUAUGUAGUCUGCCAUGUUAUGUUUAUAAGAGUAUUAGAACAACUUUACCAUACUCUAUAUUUUAGCUUUUAACUAUUUUAGAGAGCGUAUUUAGCUUUUUUUGAUAUUUUUAGAGCUCCAGCAAACUACCAAAGUUUAGCUAUUAUAACUUUUAGCUAUCUUGCUAGCUAAAUAUAGAGAGCAAGAUGACUCAGAUUAGGCUAGCUAUAAUUUAAUACAUUUCUUAUGAGAUAUUUUAUGUGAUAUAUAAAUAUAUUUAAACUAUUUAAUCUUUAUUUGAAGAAUAAUGUUGAUGUAAUGCUAGCUAAAAUAGAGAGCAUUGAUGCAGCCGUAUUUUUAAAGUGGCUAGCCAAAAUGACAUUUUAGCUAAUUUAACUAAAAUUUAACUCAAAAUAGCUAAAUACUUGUAAAAAUUCUUAGUAUAUACAAUAUCUGUGAAUCUGUAAAUGUUGAAAAUUAAGACGCUCUGACCAUAUCAGUCCAUAAUUCAAAGUACAACCCUAAAUUAAUGGAAAGAUUCCGAGAUUCAUUUCUUACAUUCCGGAUUUCCAUAACUAACCCCCAGAAUCUUAGACCAAGACCCUACACACGUGUCAGCACAUCCGUGAAACCCUACAUUGAAACAACCUAUAAAAUCAGGAAAAGCCAAACAUUGCCAAAAAUAAUAAAAUAUCAAAAAAGGACAGAAGCCUCGCCAGCUCUCAAAUCUAACGGCUGCGAUGGCAACAGCAACGCCCCCAGCUUUAUAUAUUACAAAUUCCCCGAAGAUUCCUUUUCCGCAGCCUCUACUUUUGAAAAUCUGCCACUCAAUUUUAGACUCUCGUUUAGAAAGAAGCUACAGUCCUCCUCUCCGCCGCCGCGACGUCGCCGCCAUGUGUGGAAUUCUCGCCGUCUUGGGAUGCGUGGACCACUCCCAGGCCAAGCGCAGCCGCAUUAUCGAGCUCUCCCGCCGGUAAAAAACUUGAUCGCAUUUUCUUCAAGAGUAAUCGAAUUGCUUUUUUGAUGUAGUUGAUUGUGGUGAUGAGCGAGUUUGUGAGGUUUGAUUUGAUUUGUGUGUAGGUUGAGGCAUCGCGGUCCUGAUUGGAGCGGCUUGCAUUGCCAUGGAGAUUGCUACCUUGCGCAUCAGCGAUUGGCUAUCGUGGACCCUGCCUCAGGUGAUCAGCCACUCUACAACGAGGACAAGACCGUCGUUGUCACGGUACUCUCUCUCUCUCUCACUCUUUCGGCUUCGCAUUCCGGUUCGGUGUUAUUCAGUGUGGUUUGGAUGGAUGAGGAUUAGUUUGGAUUGUAUUGCGAAAUAGAUGACAAUUUAGAGUUAGGAAUCAGGGGCUGUAUUUUGCUGUAUGGUUAGUUUGAUUUGAUUCAUGGUUAUUGGUGUAUCGAAAAUUAGAGCAUUGCAUGUGCUAGUGGCAAAAACUAGCGGCAAUUGGUUUUGCGGUUGAGUGAGCAACAUAAAUCUGUGACUGUUGAUUAGCUUUGAUAGUGGAAAACAUUUUUUCUUAGGCUUUUUACUGAGCCGAGCGGGGUUUAGAGUUUAAAAUUUGGUUUUUGGAUUUUUGGUUUGGUGAUCUGCUUAUGUUAGUAUGUUGAAUUAAUAUUGUGGUUGAUUAUUUGGAGCUGUGCUUUCAGGUUAACGGUGAGAUAUAUAACCACAAGGAAUUGAGAGAAACAUUGAAGGGUCAUCAAUUCCGAACUGGUAGUGAUUGUGAAGUGAUAACGCAUCUUGUAAGUAUCAGUGACUUCACCCAUGAUUGAAUGACUACCUUUUUGUCUGGAUCUAGAACAAAAACCCUGUUAAACUUCCCUUACUUUUCUGUUUAUUUCUAUUCUGCCAUAUCUUUUUAUCUAAUUUAACGUAUGUUUUUGGCAGUAUGAAGAACAUGGGGAAGAAUUUGUUGACAUGCUGGACGGGAUGUUCUCCUUUGUCCUCCUUGAUACAAAAGACAAUAGUUUCAUGGCGGCUCGUGAUGCUAUUGGCAUAACCCCACUGUACAUGGGCUGGGGUCCUGAUGGUAGGUCAAGUGUAGCGAAGGUUUUGUUAUUGAAAAAGCAACUGAUAUUUCUUUAAUUGAUUCUAGUCAAACCAUUUGCUUGAUUCUUGCUUCAUUUUGUUCUUGCAUGUGUUAAAAAGAAAUUUGUAAAAGCAAAUGUGACCAGCAUUGAGAUUUAGUCCACUCACACUGCUAGUCUGCUGCUUCAGAAAUUCUUUGCACUAAUAAAAAAGUCUGGCUUAUGUUUAUAUUAUAGUGCUAGUUACCUCCCUCCUAAGUCAUAAUGAUUCUUAAUUAAUAUUUGAUCAGUUCCAGUUUCAAAAAAAAUUAAUAUUCGAUCAGUAGAUUUGUGGAAGCUUUGAUUAUCUCAGAGCAUUUAAGCUGUUUCUUUUUUUCCCUCUUUCCAGGAUCAAUUUGGUUUGCUUCAGAAAUGAAAGCUCUAAGUGAUGAUUGUGAAAGAUUCAUAACUUUUCCUCCUGGGCAUCUAUACUCUAGCAAACAAGGUAAGUUGAAUUGAGCUCUAGAUACUGAUAAGGAUUUUGGUUCGUGAGUUAAUUAGCAGCCUGUUAGUCUGCGAAAGCUUCAAUAUAAAUCUUUUUAGAUCAGCAUACUUCUUUUAAGUUCUUCUUAUGAUAUUAUCACCCGUUUGACAGCGAUAAAGAAGGAACAGAUGCUUCUAUUAUUUCACUUGAAAAUAAAAAAACCAAAAACAUUAUAGCAAACUGUAUCAUACAUUUUAUACUUGGGGUUUUGGACAUACUUUAUACGGAAAUAUAUAAUUUUGAUUGAUAUCACUAGCAAGACUAUGUUUCUCUUAUUGUAAUUCGGAAAACUCUUGAGCCUGAGUCAGAAGUUUCUUUCUUUUUGUAUAUUCAUUUGGUUUACUAAUAACUUUCAAGAUGCCUUCUUCUUUGUUCAUCACAACUUUGUACAUAUGUAUUUACGAUUUUGUGUGUAGGAGGGCUGAGAAGGUGGUACAAUCCACAAUGGUUUUCAGAGAAGAUACCAUCGACUCCUUAUGAUCCCAUUGUUUUACGCAGGGCUUUUGAGAAGGUAUGCAUUGACGUGUACCGCUUACAAUCUUCCUUCUUUUCUAUUUGUGUUUUCUUUAUUUUCCCAGUCUAAUCGAUUGGUUGCAACCAUCACGAAAGAAAGUAAACUUCAUUCUUGCUUUUAAUUUUGUUUUGAGAACUGUGUUAUUGAGACUACUAUGUUGAUGAUUUUCUUUUGUUUACCAAAACUUUGUUACAUCGGGUUUUUUGUGUGGAUCCUGUCAUUGAAAAAAAGUCUUUAAAAGGAGUGGUUUAUGCCACUUUUGUCUCUGCUAGUUAGUGUCCGGAGUCAUUUACUUGGUGUGCAACCCUGCUAGUUGGGUGAGACUUGUGGAACUUACUGAGACUAUUAUAUAGAUCAUUCCUUUUGUUUACAAAAACCUUGUUGUUAUACUCAGAUCUUUGUGUGGAUCCUGGUAUUGAAAAGGAAAUCUUAAAAGGAAAGGCUGAUUGAUGCCAGUUUUUUCUAUGCCAUUAUUAGUGUUGGGAGUUCUAGUUUUUUUACUUGGUGUGUAGCUCUACUAGUUCGGUGUCACUUGAGGAACUUCCUUGAUUGGAUCUUUGAUGAGGAGGACUUGCAAUUGGUUUUUGUUUUUGGUUGUAUACAGUGAGAUCGGAAUUUGGCAUACUUUAUAGUCUCACUUUAUAGUACAGUGUGUUGAAUGGGCAAUGUUACAUUUGCAUUUGGAGGCCUUAUUAUCUUAUUAACCGAAGGUGGUAAUUAGGCAUGGUUACUAGAUAAUAGCAGAACCCAUGGAAGAGUUGAUGAAUUAACUUAAAAGUUGAAAUGAAUAUGUUAUUUCAAAGAAAGGUCACUUUGACUUCACUUGAGCAAUGGCUUCUGAUAUAUAUUAGUACUUAAAUUGCAAGAUAUAUUCCUACUUUUUUCUUUUCCCUCCUCAUACUUUAUGUCUGUUAUACCCAUUGAAAACUUGCAUAAAGCACAUCCUUUCUAUCUGCCCACCUUAAAAUAUAAUAUUAGUGUAGCAGUUUAAGUAUUUAACUAUUGCUUCAUAGUAAUGGUUUCUAAUGAAAAAUAUAUAAAUAUCAAUUCAGCGUCUAAACUAUGAGUGAUAAUCAGAUAUGUGGUUUGUUAAGAGAGAUUUUGAUUGGCCCCUGUGCCUCAUUCCACCGUCAGUCUGUCACUAUUUAGCUUCAUACAUAUCCUUACAUUAUUCUUCUUCCCAAUCUUGUAGGCUGUGUUGAAGAGACUUAUGACAGAUGUACCAUUCGGUGUUCUUUUGUCUGGAGGGUUGGACUCAUCACUCGUUGCUGCUGUGGCUUCUCGCUAUUUGGCUACAUCAGAAGCUGCACGUCAGUGGGGAUCACAGUUACAUACCUUUUGCGUUGGCUUGGAGGUAGUUAUACUAUCAUAUAUGAUAACAAAAUCUGACACGUGAUCAAAUGCAGUUCUCUUUUAUAUAACCAUAAUGUCAUCUUCAGUCCUCUUCCCUUCCCCUCUAUAGCUUAGAAAAUGCUACCUACACCAUUUUUUCAUUUUACAAACAAGAGAUGCCUGUUCAUAAAAGUAGACAACCUGAAUCGCCUUUAAAGAAGUAUAAAAUUCAACUAUGGCUGGGUUCUUGUUGUUCAGGUCUAAUUGCAAAAAGUGUGAUAGAAAGUUGUUAAGUUGGUAUAUUUAAAGGUUAAGCCGUUAACGGAAAGGUUCUUGGUGUCAAUGUUCAAUAGCCUUUCCAGUGCAAACUAUGGUACUGGAAUGGUUUAGAUGCACCCUCUUGUAGUCAAUUUUUAACAUAGAUGUUGUCUUUAUGAUACUUAUUCUCUAUGUUUAAAUGCUUUGCAUUUUCAAACUUCAGGGUUCUCCAGAUUUGAAAGCAGCAAGAGAAGUUGCAGAUUAUCUUGGAACUCAUCAUCACGAGUUUCACUUUACUGUUCAGGUAAUGUAUAAGGGAUGCAAUUAGAAGAAUAGUUCAUUAAGAGGGUCAAGGGUGGAAAUUAGUUUCUUCAAUUUAUUAUUUAGGUAUUCUUGUGCAAUUUUAGUUUCAGCUUAUUAAAUAUCUAAGGGUUGCUUGAAAUAGGAUUCAGACUAUUUAUAUUGAAUGGGGAUUGGAAAUAUAAAUUGUGUCACCCUAAAUUUCUAGCUCCCACUCAUUCUAUUUCUUCGUUGUAGUCCUCUCUCUCUCUCUCUCUCUCUCUCUCUCUCUCUCUCUCUCUCAUUCUCUUGCUUUUUUUCAUCACUUUUUUUCUACACCAAUAUUUUCAGUUUAGGUCUGGACUCUAGAUAUAUAUUAAUUCCAAGAACUAAUUUGUUUCUUUGAUUUGAUAUCUCAGGAAGGCAUAGACGCACUUGAAGAAGUUAUCUACCAUAUUGAGACAUAUGAUGUGACCUCUAUCAGAGCCAGCACUCCAAUGUUUCUCAUGUCUCGUAAGAUUAAAUCUCUGGGAGUAAAAAUGGUCCUCUCUGGUGAAGGUUCAGAUGAAAUCUUUGGUGGUUACUUGUAUUUCCACAAGGCACCAAGCAAGGAGGAGUUUCACCAAGAGACAUGCCAGAAGGUAUUCAUACACACUAUCUCUGGAUUGUUCUCUGCUUCUAGUGUUGCUGGAUUUUGUUUUACUACCCUUGAGGGUAUUUUUAUUAUCGACAUUUUGUGACUAUUCAACAGAUCAAAGCUCUUCAUCUGUACGACUGUCUGAGGGCCAACAAGUCGACUUCAGCUUGGGGUGUUGAGGCUCGUGUACCGUUUCUUGACAAAGACUUCAUCAAGACUGCUAUGGACAUUGAUCCAGAAUGGAAAAUGGUAGAAAAUCAUUAAACUUUCUCUUCCUCCAAUUUUUUCAUGUAUUGUAGUGAUUUAAGGCUUACCGACAUUUGGCAUAGUGAGAGCUCAUUAUAGGACUGUUGGGGUAUGAAUAUCGUCUUACGACUAUGAAAUGAUCUACUACAUGUGGACGUUGUUCCUAUUAUUGAUAUUGCCUCACAGAAGUUAUUUUUCUAAUCCACCAUGACUUUUUAUGUGUUGUGAACUCCGUCAUUUUUCAUCCGUUUUAUGCUGAGGUGUCGGUGUCAUACAUAAUCCUGCUAUGUCUAAUCUAAUGGACGAUCUAUGGUAUACUUAGUCUUAUUAGAUUAUAUCUUCAUUGGUGCAGUGGCAUUACUGGGAUUGCCUUGUUUUCGUGCCAAAUUUAAUUGAAAGCAAAAGUUAAUAUUUUAUUCAUACAUCUGAAUAAUUGCAUUUGUAACUGCAGAUCAGGCCUGAUCUUGGGAGGAUCGAGAAGUGGGUCUUACGCAAAGCAUUUGAUGAUGAAGAGAAGCCAUAUUUACCAAAGGUUGCUACCUUUUUGCCCAACCAUUUCAUUUUGCAUAUCCUUUCUGUUUUAGAAAAUUUUCACCUUCUUGGAUACUUAUGCACAUUUCCACUUUUUCCUUGUGGGUUAUAGCACAUAUUGUACAGGCAGAAGGAGCAGUUUAGUGAUGGUGUUGGUUACAGCUGGAUUGACGGCUUGAAAGAUCAUGCCAACAAACAAGUAUGCUGCAUUUUCUACUUGCAUUUAAUUUUGGACAGAAAUGUUCUCUUUCCAACUAGUCUCAUAUAUAAUGUUUCCAUGCUCCCCAACCAGGGCCGUGGUUAAAUUGAUUCAAGCUUAAGUGUGUUCCAUAUUAAGAUUUAUAACCCAAAUUUUGCAUGAUAAAAUUUCUUGUUCUAUGAUAUAUUUCAUGUUCGCUAGUUCAAAUUAGAGGUGCAGAAUCUAAACAACUCAGCUAAGAAGACACUUGAGAUACUGCUUCUUCCUUAGCUGCAUAGAAUUAAUAAAAUCUUCAUUUUUGCUUCUAACUGGACAGGUAUCAGAUUCAAUGAUGAUGAAUGCAGGCUUUAUCUACCCUGAAAACACUCCAACCACAAAAGAAGGAUACUACUAUAGGACUAUCUUUGAGAAAUUUUUUCCAAAGGUGACCUACCUUUCUCCCCAUCUCUUACAAUAUCAGUUGACUGAAUUAGAUCAUUGUUUGUUUAGUAUGUUCAAAAUUGCUAUUUUAUGGACAGAAUUCUGCGAGAUCGACAGUUCCUGGUGGUCCAAGUGUGGCAUGCAGCACAGCAAAAGCUGUGGAGUGGGAUGCAGAAUGGUCCAAGAACCCUGAUCCAUCUGGUCGUGCUGCCCUUGGUAUACAUGCAGCUGCCUAUGAGGAGUCAAAAGAUGUGAAGACUGGAAGUCUUGUGAGUGACUCUCCACAGAAACUUGUAGAAGGGGUUGCAGGGAAAGUGGUGGGAGUAGUUUGAAUGUUACAAAUGAUCGAAAGGAACUAGCUAGAAUGUUAGCAAAUGUCAAAAAUGUUACAAAGGUACUAGAAUGUUACAAAUGCUUUUUCUACUGUCGAAAUUACAUUGACUAUGUUCUUUUGGAUUAAUGGAACAAUGUCAGAUAAGAUAUACUUUAGAUUGAUAUUUAAUCUGAUUCUGUGGCAGAUGAGGACCAGAAGGCCUUGUAAGGAAUUCCUCACGACUGUUAGUAGUUUACUCAACUAGGGCCUUGCUAUUGUCUCUUAGAUGAGACCAGACUACUUGAUGCUUAUAUAUUCAAUUUGUAAUUUUCUUUGACCAGGAUACGAAUAUGUAGUUGGUUCAGACAGUUUAGACUUUAGACAGGUUGCUAUGUAUACUAUGUUUCUUAAACAUGCAGUUCGGCUUUUCCUUUAUUUUCUUAAGGUCCAUUCUUCCUGUUCGACAAGAAAAUUUCAAUGGUAAAACUAGAGCAGAAUCCAGAUUCAGUAACUUUGUUGUCUGAUCCGGAGUGCAUGUUAUUAUGGAGACAGAGAUUAUAAGAAGGAACACAGUUUUUUCAAGAAAUGGAUGCCAAUUUUAUUGAGAAUAUCAAAUACAAUGAGAAACAUAAGCAAAAAGAGUACAACUUAGAAGAGUAUCCUUUGGAAACUCCAUGAACAUAAUUACAAUUGCUAUUUCAGAUAUUUACAUUGUCAUUCCCCUGAUACACAACUAGAUUCAAGAACAAAACAAAACAUUUGGUUGAGGACAUGAGCAGCUUCUUUCCCAUUGCACUUGAGCCCUGAAACUCAAAGUUAACUCCUCCGUAGACGUUUCUGACUAGUCUCCGGGCAGCAUUUGGCAUGGACUAUAGGACCCAACUGUGACCGAUCCAUCUCCGGCGCUGGUCCCUGAGGCGCAUUCAAGUACACAGCACCUUUGUACAUCCACUCAUCUGUGUCAUGGCUAUAAAACUCAACAAAAGCAUCAGUGCACAAGGCACAUUUACUCUGAUCCUCGUCGGCAGGAACAGCCAUUUCUUCAUCACUACACUUCCUCUUCUUAUCAGCAGCAGGCAAAGCUACUCCAGAAACUAAUACCUGAGCCUCAACCUCUGCAUCAUUAACAAGCCACAUGCUUGUAGUUGCAUAAAAGUUACGAGAGCGUUUAUGCUUGCUCUUCUUGGACAUGCGGUUCUUCUUGACAUGCCAAUCCAUAUGGCUGCUGUGCUCUUCUUGACACUUGAACCGCAGGCCACAGCUUUUGCAUUGCUUUGGCAGACCACUCUCAUACAAGGCGUUUAGCACAGAUUCGCGACGCAGAUUUAAAUCAAGGCCAGAAAACUCACAUCCCACCACAGCAUCCUUCUCCUCUUUCACUACCGGGAUUUGAUUCUUCAGCGAGAUCACACCUUGUGCGAGGAGAGAAUCAAUCAAACUAGGAAGCACUAUUGGAACAUUAGUACUACUGUUUGGAACAGGCAAUGAGUUUAGUGAACUAGUAGCCUCCUGUCCUCCUCCGCUUUGGUUUUUCAAUGAGAUCACACCUUGUGCCAUUAGAGACCCGAGUAGACCAGAGACUACUGGAGUCACGGCUUGCGGUGGUAGACGAUGAGGGACAGAAGUAGAACCACAGGGACCUUGAAAAGUGUACCCACCCGAUUGAUAAGGCGGCACUGGGGUUUGUGGAGAUGGGUAGAAACCUGGUCGAGGUGGGACAAAUUGGGGCUGAAAAUGACCGACCGGCGGCACCUGGUUGCGGUGAUUAGCCGGAAAAGGCAUGUAGCGUGGCUUACAUUGCAUCAUCUUGACAAGUUUCUGUUGUGCCAAGAAUUCUGGAGAAACAGGAAAGAGGAUUGAGAUAUGGAAACUUAAGAGGACAGGGGUGUGUCUGUUUUAUAAGGUUUUGAGAAAAGGAAACUUGAUGAGGAAUCCUUGUCGAGUUCGGAUUCGAGGUUUCCGAAUCCUUGUGGGCAAAGGAUUUGAAGGAUCUUCCAACUCAGUUCCGACUUGUACAGCUGUACACGGAUAUUUUUUUUUUUCAUAAAUUAAUUUGACUUUGUCAACUCUUAUAGGAAAAGACAAAUAAGGACAAAUAUAUAACUACCAAAAUGAGGAAAAUAAAAAUAAUUAUUGUAUACAUGCCUCUUUUAGGCCCUGCUCAAUUUGACGGAGAACCCAGAAAAUUUCUAGGGUAUAUCUUCCACUUCUGAUCCACACCAGAAAAAAAAAAAAAAAAAAAACCCAAAAAAGCUUUCAUUGUUAGGAAGUAUGAAAAAAGAGUAAAAAAAACGUUAAAUUAAGAAGACAUGGUGCUAGUCUUCAACUGGGAAAGUGAUGCAUGAUAUAUAUGGUGCUAGUCUGAGAAAGUAGAUUAAGAAAAUAUAUGGUGCUAGUAUAUAUGAGACAGUAGAUUAGGAGGAUGGAGGUCAGUCAGCACAUUAGUUUUCAAUUAAGGUGGUAAGUGGACAGCAAUUUCAAUUGUAUGUUUUGAAUUUUGACACAACAGAGUAGUGGGUUUUGAGUUUGGCAAUUGCUUCCCUUGAAUUGUAAUGGACUACUGGCUUUGCAAAUUUCAACUGCUUAAUUGAGUUGGUUAUACAUUCAUAUGAAUCAUCUAUAAACUAAGGACUAUAACUUCGAUGUUACAAGUGCUUCUACUUUUACCAAGAACUAAUCUUUUGAUCCCUAUCCUAAUAUAUUGUAAUAGACGGUCUUUGAUUAUUGUUCCAAUUCUGGUUUCGUACGUAGGUCAUUAUUGUUCAUCAGAUCCUUUCUAUGGCUUCUCAAGAGCAUGAUCAACUUCAUUCCUUAUUGUUUCCUUUAUGGCUCAAGGCCACAUGAUCCUUAAGAUUGCCAUUGGUAGACGAUUGGCACAAUGAGGCACGAUGGUCAUCGUUGUCACCGCACCGCUUAAUCCAGCCCGUUACAAUCCAGCUUUGAAUAACUGUGAUGGAGGAGAGAACAACAGAGAAAGUAAUUGUAAUUUUUUUCGGGGAUAGAAAAAUAUAGUGAUGGCAUACAAAUUGGUAGAAAGUUGGAGGGUAUUUUAGUAAGGAUAAAGAGGUAUACUUAGGUAUGUAAGUAUGUUAAAAUGUAAAAUUGAGAUGUAUUAAGCAACGAAGGUAUACACAAUAAAUUUGGAGGUGUAACUAAAAUCCUCUUUUUUUCUGUCAUGAAAGCCCAUUUUGUCAUGAGAAGUACCUACAUAUAUACGUCUACUCUGAUGUUAUUCAUGUGUUCAAGACUAUCAUCUCAAGAGACUUACCGUUGGAGCUUCCAAAUGUCUUAGAUCCUUCUUGCAAUCCCAUCCAACUAAAACAAGUUAAAGGUGACCAGAAACGGGAGAGUGGAAGAAGUAAGAAUAAUACGCAUCUUAAAUACCACAGCGGAAUCAUAGAAUCAUAGAGAGAACAAGAAUGGAAAUCAUCCUAUUUUGUCAUACCACAACGUCAAUGGUGGCAGUGGUUCUGAGCAGUUUAAAACUCUUUUUGGUGGCCAUCCGUUUAAAACUCUUUAUUUUUCUUAAUUGUAUUACGUUUUAUUUUAUUUAUAAUGUAACUAUCAAGGAGUUUAUUCUUACCAGAUAAAAGUCUAGUUCGAGAAAAAAAAAUAUAGUAUGAAUAUCUGAAUUGAUUAAAGUUUGUCAUAAUAAUUACUCAAUGUUCUUUAUGUAAGUCAAGUUCCCAAUAUCUUUGGGUAUUCUUCCACUGAAUCUGUUACCACCUAAAAUACAAUUCUUGAACGUUGGGAAGAUGUCGCCACAUAUUAUCGGGGAUGCUACCGUUCAACUCGUUAGCCCCCAACUUUACUUCAAGAAAAUGUUUACAUUGCCAUGACUUCUAUGCAGUGGCGGAUCUAGGAUCCGGUAAGUGUCUAGGCUAAUUAGAUGUGCAAAAUUUUUCUAGAAUUUCUUGAACCAAAUGGUAGACUCAUUAAAAGAAAUUUAUUGUAAAGAAACACUAACGGAAGUGUAGGAGUAUAUGAGAUAACAAUUUUUUUUUUUUCCAACAAAAUACUAAGAGAAAAAUAGAUUAAACCCAAAAAGGAAAGUGAAGAAAACGAGAAGGAAAAAACAUGCAGAGUGAUGACCCAUUUGGUUUGUAGUCACAAAGAAUAGAGAAAGAAGAAUAAUAUUGGAAAACUAGAUAAAAACAUGAGAUUGACUCCAAGAGGAGUCAAACCUUAGACAAUGUAAAGGUCAAGUUGGACAGAUUGCCAACCGAACCAAAGAAAACUUUGUUUACCAGCUGGUAUUCACAUGCUAUGGGCUGCAGCCUAGACAACUCACUACAUGUAUCCGCCCCUGCUUCUAUGGAAGUGGACCAUUAAACUGAUUGGCACCCAAAAUUCAACACUUGAAUAUUAGGAAGAUGUUGACAUAUAUUGUCCGGAAUUCUACCAUUCAAUUUGUUUCCAUAUAAGGCUAGGGUAGCCAAAUAUGACAUGUUGAAGAUAGUCGUAGGAAUAUGCCCUUUUAAGGCAUUUUCUUUGACAAACAAUUUUUCUAGCCGACUUGAGGUGCCGAUAUCAUUUAGAAUUUCUAGAAAAAAAAAAAAAAAACACGGUUAAUUGAUACAAGAACUAUGAUCUACUAUGUACUAUUUCAUUAAAAAACCUUUUAAAAAAAAAAAAAAAAAAAAAAACCUAAAUUUCAUAAGAAUUUGAAAAUAUACUAAUACAUAGUGUUUCACAAAGAUUUUGUUUUAAUAAAAACAAAACAAAAACAAAAAAACAAUAUGGGGCAUGCGGUGUAACAAAAUAUCCAUUUAAAACAACAAAGUUCAUGAGAGUCAUACCUUCAAAAUUAUUAUUAUCAAGGUAGAUCUCCUUCAACGUAGUUAGAUUCCCAAAUACUGUAGGGAUUCUACCUAUGAAGAACUUUUAAUUUUAAUUAGAAAUCAAUCUCUUUACCUUAAGAAGCUUGUUCGAGUUGUUCAAACUAGAGAGUCUGCUAAAUAUGUUUAAGAUAGAUUAAAAUGGCUACACAGUAGAUUAAGAUUCCAGAAAUUUUGCUAGCUAUAUGUGUUAGCUUGUACCUGAGAGUUGGUUAUAACUCAGAUCAAUUAUUUGCAGAGCAGAUAAGUUGAAGAAUGUAGCUGGUAUGGAACCUGAAAAUUGAUUACCAAGUAACCAGAAUUCUUGAAGUUUGGAUGAGGACCCAAACCAUGGUGGAAUAAGUCCCAUAAACUACUUGUAUCCCAAGUUAAUAAACUUCAACCGGCGCAGGCGAGCCAAUUCUGGUUUCAAGGUAUUGUGGAAACUGUUAUUUCCGAAAUCCAAAUCAACAAGAAAUGAUAAGUUGCCUAGCUCGGGAGGAAUGGUGCCGACGAGACCAAAGUAAGAGAGGUUCAACUCUGCGACUCAAUGAUGGCGUUCACCACAAGUGACGCCAACCCAGUUGCAAACAGGGGUGGUGGUUGACCAGUUGGUCAAGAUCAUGUUUUGGGGUCACUGUUGAUACUGGCUUUGAGAGCAAGAAGAGCAGACUGGUCAGUGGUGAUGUUAAGGUUGGUUUCUGCUGCCAUAGUUAAGCAGCUAACCGUGCAACAGAACAAGUAUACCAGGAAGAACCAAGUAACUGCUUCCAUUGUGCGAAUAAUGGAUAUGCAAAGUGGGUGGAAUUUGUUUUUUUUUUUUUUUCGUAUACAACAGAAGAAGGGUGGGAUUGUUACCUGAGAGAGAGAAGAGUCACAAGAGGAACUGGCUGGAUAUGUUGUAAUAAAUAUAGCCAAUUAGCCACCCUACAAAUUGAGAGAGGUCAGCUCUCUGCAUUCUUCAUUAAUCAGUAUUGAAAACCAAAACACGUUCUAAGACUUCACUAAUUAUGAUUGAGGAGGAAAUGUGAAUGGAUGGAAUCAUCAAAAUCCAAGAGAUGGUUCAUAUCAAGAUGGAAGACAAGCUCAAAGACUAUUAACAACAAAUGGACCCAUUUAAGUACGACUUCGAUGAUAUGAGACUCGUUAAAGUAGUAUCAUGGGUAUUCAGAUCAAAAAUACAUAUAUUUUAAAUAAUAUCAAUUUUAUCUGAAAAAUUAACAGAAAUUAUAUUUGUUGAAACAAAGCAUAACUUGAGAUACCAAAAUGUCCUCUUCUAAGCACUAAGGUACCGUAACAUGAAUUUACUGAUGAUUUUAACAUACCAAUGAACACAUGACAGAUAUGAGCUUAUAUAGUUCAACGUACUUGUAUCAUCAACCAGUGUAGGGGAUUUUCUCUGUCAAGAAAUAUAUCAUCAAAAGUAUUAGCCUUUACAAUCACUAUCUAACCAAAAUUGCUUGCACAUAGUGCUUAUGUAUUCUUUAUGUACAUGGAAGACUUGUAUUUACAAACUCCAAAAGGAAAGUCAUCCAUAUAAUGCAACACCGUUUGCAUCCAGCUCCAGAAACUAUAAUAAGCGUCAGCUAAGGUGGUUAUACUAACCACCAUAUCAAUUUGAGGUCCAGAGGGUACAUUCACCAUCGGCAAAUACCAGGUGCCUCCAUACGGCUUUGAGCAAGUACUUCCUCAUACUUGGUAGCAUACACAAAGCCCCAUAACUGCAUUACACUACUAUCAAUUAAAUGACUGACAUUUUUCUUUUACUUUGGAACAAAAAGAGCACUGAUUUGAUAACAUAAAUGCACAUUCAUUUGUAUGGGUGUAAGAGUGCUGUGGAAGGUGUGUGUAUGUUGGUGUGUCAGUGUGCUACUAAGAGAGAUAGAGAGACAUUGCGCACACCUCUACUUCUUUCACAUCAAAGUCUUCUGAGUUUGCAAGACAUGGAUUGCCAUAGGUUUCUGAAACUGAACUUGAUCCGCUCAAACUUGCACAAAGAUAAAAAUAAAAAAUAAAAAAAUAAAAAAGUUAGAAAAUACAGUAAAUUUGAGUAGAUAAAAAAGGCUCACUGAAAAUAAAGAACGCGAAGAGGCAAAGUUCUCACAGAUCACUGUUCAAAUAGAGUGCGAAAUGACCACCCCCGCCAAUAGCUAAAAAGUCAGUAGCGCACAAUGUGAAGUAGCGGUUGGCACCUGUAUUAACAUUAAUUCCAAACUAUUUAGUAAAAGAUAUUCCAUUCAGGUACCAAAGGAAAAAAAAAUUAUCCACCGGUUUGUUUAUCAAAAGACAGUUAUCUCAUAAAUGACAGACACAUGCAUAUUUCAACCGGCAACAUCCAAGUUGAGUUCUCAAGCAGUAAUUUUCUUUGGACGUAACAUAGUUGCGCAAGUAAAAUCUUAAUCAUUGCGCAAUUUAUGCCAAAGUUUUAAUUUUGCACCUACCCUUUGCUCGAAUUUCCUUGCAACUAUACUUCAAAGAAGCAAGGGGCUAAUUGGUGCAUUACGAAGGGAUAUAUUAUAAAUAAAUAUUGAUAAUCCAAGUUUAUUAUAGAAAACAAAAACUACAAAGAGGAUAUAUACAGAAGUACUUUAGAAGUAGUAUCUAUGAGUUUAUGUCCGCCAGUAUCAUGUAUUACUAGAAAUUGUGUAGUUAGAUAUUAAGCGAUUACUAGUUACGAUGUAUUAUGCUAUGACUCUUGUGCAGUAUUUUGACGAUUCCAAACCUAAGGUUUCAAAUAGGCCCUGAGGUUUGAAGAUAUAGUUCAGAAAGUAAUUACUUUAUACAAGCACUACAUCAGCAAAAUGAGGUGGUGAAACAAAGAUCCUAUGAUUGCAUUAUGUACAGGCAGUAAAGCUCUACCAAAAUCUAAAAGAUGAUUGAUAAAUAUAUUUUGUAUUAAAUUCUCUUCUACAAAGUUUGAAGGAGCACAUCCUUUACUAAUCACCAUAGCAUUUAGAACUUGCAGGAUACAGUAAAAUUUUCCACUAAUUCCAAAUAAUGAUCAAGUCAAAAACAUACAUUUUAAUUUUUAAAGUGGAUACAUAUGUAGAACCUACAGCAAGCAUGAGUAAGCAGAAGGUAUAAAAACUGCCUUCACUAUCUCAUACAUAUAUGAAAACCAUUUCAAGGCAUGCAAAGAGCUUCCACCUAGGCAAUCACAAAUUGAUGAUAAAUCAGAAACUGUGUUCCCUACGAAGCAAAAAAGAUAAAUUUGUACCUGUAGGGCGAUAUAUAACAGGAUCGCCAGAUGUAUUUGUGAAAACAAAUGUAUCAUUUGUUCCCUGUCCAAAACACCAGCAAAAAUCUAAUUAUAAAAGGGAAUAAUUGCUAGAUGGAUUCAUAAGGACAUAUCUGUUUCAGCAGGACCUGAUACUUCUUGUUGGUUGGUCUUAGAGGUGCCUCCACCAAGCCACCAAAAACUGCACCUUUACGGUCUCCAACAACCUGAACAAUUGACAAUGUAUCAUACAAAUAAUCAAGGCAAUUCUUUAAUGUACGGCUCAAGGAACUUGAUACAUGUUUGUACAUUAUAUUUUAGGCAGUAAUAGACAAUAAAUAAUUUUAUUGGAAGAGUUGAUUGGAAAUAAUUUUGAAUGGACUGAUGCUAACAGUUCCUGAGCAAUUACCAGCAAACUGAGGCCAGGCCAAAGCAUACUCCUUCUGUAUAGGGUUGAAAGUGAUAUGCCAUGCCUCCAUGUACUGCAAAAUAAGAAGAAUAUCGGUGCCAUUUGUAUAAUAAUCAGUUCAUUAUGAUAAAGAGACUAGAACUUCCAAAAUAUAUAACUAUGGAACUCCAAGUUUCUCUACCUAUACAGUAACAACCAUCGUCUUCCCUGAACUAGCACCGGGAAUGAACUGUAAAGAGCAACUCUAGCUUUCUCAGUAAGAAGUAAAGAAGGCUCUGAGAUGUCUGGCAGAUGAACCAAUGCCACAGGCUUCUGUGCUUUCUGCAAAUGCCUCAUCUCCACUCCAGCAAACUCAGACUCAUUCCCGUCAUCACCUUUCACAGCAAUACUACCCUUCCGCUCUUGACCCCGGUAACCGCCAAAUCUUGCAGCCUGGUACAUAGCUUUCCCAAGCGUGUGCUUCCCCUUAGAAAAGAAGCUUCUCUUCCCACCGUUGGCUUUCACCACCAAAUCAGACGAAGAAUUGCUCUUAUCCAUUUGCUCAUCAACCUGUUCAUCUGAACUUUUACUCUUAUCUCCCGACUCCGAUGUCGCUAAAAACGAGUACAGAAACGCAGUAAAUGAAGAAGUGUCAGGCCCAUCAACCGGAGUAGCUCCACUCUCCUCACUCAUUGACCCAUUUUGACUUCCUUUUGACCCCUCCACAUCUUCCUCCUGACAUAUAUAUUACGUAGUCACAGACACACACUCAAAAUUCAAACAAAACUAGCACAUCUAUAUAGCUAUGCAAUCUCACAGUACAAUGUUCCCCAACAACUAACAAAAUGCCUCCAUCAUUCUCACAAUUAUAACCUACUACUAUUUCUAGACAAAUUGAAGAACUGGGUUUUGCAGCCAGGGGUCCAAAACCUAGAAAAGCUUCAAUCUUUGGAGCAAUCAGAGAGUUGGGUUCAAUACAGAACCACCAAACACAGCAUAAAAGUAAAAACCCAGAAAGGGUAUUGGGGAAAGAAAGAUAGAGAAGUUGCUUACAGGAGGAGGAGGAGGAGAGGGUUUGGAGGGUUUGUCAGAGAUGGGGUUGAGCAAUCCAGUAGUGAUAUCAGUGACAAAGUGGGCCGCUUUGCUGCGGAGACUGCGUGGCCUACCCAUGUGUGUCUGAUUUUGACGACCUGCUUUGGUUUAUAUAAGACUGAUCAGAAUCGAUUCCCACCGCUCAUAUAUUGGUCGGAUUAGAAAAGAUUAUGGGUAUAUGAGAUUUAGUUCCUAAUAUUCUGAGUUUGUUUCGGAAAGUUUUUUUUUUUUUUUGGGUUCUCCGGCGGGUAGGGUGGUGGAGAUCGUUGGGCAGAUAAAAAGGGGGAAGCUUUGGAAGGAAGAGAAGAGUGAGGUCAAAGCUACUGUCUUUUCAAGCUACUUGGGGCCUCACCUAAGAAAGUUCGCACCAAAUUUGGAUAGACUUUGGGUAACGAUUUUAUAUACUAGUUAAGUCGUGAAGGUCAACAAGGACUUCAUGGCCCAAUGGAUAAGGCGCUGGUCUACGAAACCAGAGAUUCUGGGUUCGAUCCCCAGUGAAGUCGUUUUUUUUAGGUAAUUUGGGUUGAGGCUAUGUCCCUCUCCCUCCUCCAUCUUUUAAUUUUGAACGAGGUCAUCGGUGAUCUUUAAGUGGGAAUAGGCAAUGUUUUGGAAAACUCGCAUUAUUACGGUAUUGAUUAAAUAAUUAUAGAAACGACAACAUGUUCAGUGACUAUUGGCAAUUGUGACGCGACUUCUCAACGUCCCUUAAUGCUCAAGUUAAUGCAACAUGUCUUCUUGUACGAAGCAACUUCGUCAUAAGGUGUCGGUUUCUUUAAAACCACGACCAAAUUGCACCACAAUGAAAUGUGAUCUUUUUAAAUUUCUUCUUUUUUUUUUGAAUAAUUUAAAUUUCUUCUUAUGUAAGGUGCUUUUUCAAAUUAGGUACUUCAAUUUUGAAUGGUAGAAGAUAGUCAAAAUCACAAUUAUUUGAUAAACAAGGUAUGGCAUUAAAUGUCAUUAUAUCACUUAUAAAUGGAAGUUUCAAUCAUGUACUUUUGAUUUAUGAAAUUUUCCUAUUGAAUUUCAAUCGACCAGAAAAUUCGCCGGAAAUUUACUCUAUCGUCUUUUUAUACAAAAAUGAACUCAAUCUUUUCUUUAACCAAAUUACCAAAAGAAAAUAUACUCUUUCUAUUUAAACUUUACUUUUACCAGGGGAGCCUAGGAGAGCAGAAGGUGCCACAGAUUCAGCACAAGUGUGCUCUGUGCUCAAAUCCAAAGAAGCCGCGUCCAAAAUCUUCAACGUGCUCUUCCGGGUCCCACCGACUAAUGUGUAUCUGCCGCGUCCUAGCUUUCCACGUGGCUCAUCAUCAGAUGUGUACGUACAUUAUCCCCUAUUAUCUUACUCCCACCUGUCAACACCAUCCCUCAUCAUUGUCCUUGUCCAAAAUUAGGAAAAUAGGAAAAUCAUCCCCCUUUUUUUACGGUGGUUAUAAAAUUAUUUUCCUAUUUCAUCCUAUAAAAAGCAAGCCCCCUGGUCUCUUUGUAUCAUCUAUCAGUCUCUCUUCUAGUCUUGUUAUUACAUACACUGCGAAAAAUGGCGACUCUUCAAGUACCAGCUUGUGUUCCUUCUCCUGCUGAGGACGCUGAGCAGCUUAAGAAGGCUUUUGAAGGUCUUUUACUUCAACACUCUUAAUCUCUAUGACUAUCGAUCACUACAUGCAAUCAUUCAUAUAAUCUGAUCUUGUUCUGCGUUUUGUUGGUUUGAUUGAUCUGGUCAUGUGUCUGUUAUGAUCAUCUGAAGUUUUGAUCCAUCUACUUGUGUAUGGUUUUUACCUUUAUGUGAAUUCUGGGUACUGAGUAUGACUUGGAUGUUAUCUUUACAAAUUAAGCUUAGAAUGUCAAUGCUAAUAUGAUCAUGAUGAUGAAGGGUUUUUUGUUUGUCAAUGUUCUUCGAUUCAUUAUUGGUGGAUCAAAGUUUAGAUCUGGAUAGUUUGAUCAGUUAUCUGGUGGAGCCAGUUUCAGGUUCACUGUUGACUGACAAGUAGCUUGAAAUUUGAGAUGUUGAUUUUCAUGUAUUCUGAUAUGGAUGAUCUUGAUCAUCUAAAGAUCGAUCUUGUACUAAAAUUUUUUUACUUGUGAGUUGUGAUUAUGUGGUUUCUGUGUUUAAGUAUAAUGGGGUUGCAACCUCUGUGAAAUUCAGAAUCAUAUAUGACCGUAAAGAUCAAGUAGGAUCUUCUUUCUCUUAGAGUUUUCUUUCAAUUUUGUUGUUAACAUUUUCAUUGGAGCAAUGUAUCAGAUCUGGAUCUGCUUAACAAAUAUUUUUUGUAGUCAUUGAUCACUAUUGACUGUAAACUUUUCUGGCCACUAAUUAUGGCAAAAGCAAGGCCUUAGUGCUAAACCACUAUAUUCUUUAUCUGACUUUUUCUGAUUCAUCCACUCUGAUAUCUAUAUCAAUCGGUUCCUCUGGCACAUUAUUCACAAGUUGACCUCCUUCCUUGAAUAUUUCAUUGGAUCCUAUUUUCUUAAUUGGCAAAUUUUUAUUAUUCUUUUGAUUACUGUAGUUGAGGUGAGUAACCCACUUACUUUGAGCAGGGUAAACUAUAUAUAGAGACAAUUAUGAACACUUGUUUUCUCAAUUAAGAUACUAAGUUUCAUCUUAUAAACAUAAUAAUGGUUGCAUGUAUCACUCCUUAACUCUCAAAGAGUUUCGACUUUCCUAAUUGCAGUAGUAGAGGAGUUGACCUUAUUUAGAUCAUUGCCUCCUAUUCUUAGAUAGAAUAUUUCUGAGCUAACUUUGGUAAUUUGUACGCAGGAUGGGGCACAAAUGAGGGGUUGCUCAUUUCCAUACUGGCUCACAGGAAUGCUGACCAGAGAAGACUAAUUCAGCAGACCUAUACUGAAACUUAUGGAGAGGAUCUUCUCAAGGCACUAGACAAAGAACUCUCAAGUAAUUUUGAGGUCCGAUUUUGAAUAAUUUUUCAUUUAUAGAUGCACACUAUUUUGCAACUAAUUAUAAAGCAGCGUGUGAAUGAUGUAUCUCAUUUUAAAAGGAUACUGAUUGAUUUUUUUUCAUAUUUUGUUGCAUACCAGCGUGCUUUGCUGUUAUGGACACUGCAUCCUUCCGAGCGUGAUGCAGUUUUGGCUAAUGAGGCUAUAAAGAGGUUCACUUCAAGCAAUUGGGUUCUCAUGGAAAUAGCUUGUUCUAGGUCUUCACAUGAACUCCACAUGGUAAAGCAGGCUUACCAUGCUAAGUUCAAGAAAUCCCUUGAAGAGGAUGUUGCAUUUCAUACAUCUGGAGACUUCCGCAAGGUACAACUUUGAACUUCCAAAAUGAUUAGUCAUUUUAAUUGUGCUCUGAAUUUUUUAGUUGGUAUGUUGUAAUGAUUAGUCAUCUUUUGUAUUAUCUAUAUUUAAACAUGUUCACCUACAAAGUCACUUCUGCAGUUCUGCACAUAUAUCCCAGACACUGACCUUCCUUCUGCGUUAAAUUUUUUUUUUUUUUUUCUUCCUUUGCCUUGGUUGCAAUUUAUACAUUUUAAUUUAUCAUUUGUUUUACUCUUGACUCUGUUACAGCUUUUGGUUCCUCUUGUGAGUGCUUUCCGAUAUGAAGGAGAUGAAGUGAACGUUACAGUGGCAAAAAGAGAGGCUAAGCUACUUCAUGAGAAAAUCAAGGACAAACACUACAAUGAUGAGGAGCUCAUCAGGAUCAUCUCUACCAGGAGCAAGGCACAGCUAAACGCUACUUUCAAUCAGUACAACAAUGAGUUUGGAAAUGCCAUUACCAAGGUAACCAUCUCUGCGAACAUUCAGAUAAUGUGAAAUGCCAGGAAAUGUGGAGUUCAAAAAUUGAUAGAUUAUUGUAUUCAGCUAUUUCAUUUGACCAUGUAAACCACAUCCUUAAUUGGAUUGCUGCUUGAGUGAAAUUGCUUGUACUAAAACUGAUAGUGUGGCAUCUAAUAUGCAGGAUCUGAAGGCUGAUAAGGAUGAUGAAUUCCUCAAAUUACUAAGAGCAACUACCAAACUCUUGACCUACCCUGAGAAGUACUUUGAAAAGCUUCUUCGUUUGUGUAUCAACAAGCUCGGGACAGAUGAAGGUGCACUUACUAGAGUUGUUACUACCAGGGCAGAGGUUGACCUGCAUCGUAUUAAGGAAGAAUACCAACGCAGAAACAGUGUUACUCUGGCCCAUGCAAUUCAAAAAGACACUAGAGGAGACUAUGAGAAUCUGCUUCUGGAACUGAUUGGACAUUCAGAUGCCUGAGCUUUGCUGCAAAACCACCCAGAAUAAAGAUGAACAGAGUUUUAAGUUAUUUGCAAUGUCUUCUUUGCUUCAAAAUGCAUCUUUUUUAUGGUUGUGUAGACCCUUGUCUAUUUAUGUUUCUAGUCUGGCAACAGGACAAUUAUGGAUUGAUUGAGUUGAUGUUGUUUAUGGAUUGAGUUCCUGCUGUUAUUGGAUUUAGCCUUGAGUUAUAUAUAAUGAGUUUUAAUCACCCUUGCCUCUUUUUCUCUAUGAAGGAAGUGAUAGUAAACUUAUCAUACUAGUAUGUACGUAGUGGAACAAUCUUGGAAUAUAAAUCGAACUCGUUGCCCAUUUUAGUGAUCCAUAGCUCCAAAGGUCCAAGUUUCAGCUUCAUCAUUAGCUACUCAAAAGCAAUUUAAAACCAGGCAUCAAGCACUAUCAAAGAUGAAAGAGAACAUCCUUCUCGUAUGAAAUCCAAGUUAUGACCCCAUCAAACAUGCUAAACUCAUUACUUUGUUGGCAAAAUUGGAAUGUCAAAAUGAUGUCAUUUUAAGAUACACUCUUGCUAAUCCAGCUUCUGUUGUAGCAGCUGCUGCUACUGCAGGGUCUGCAGCAAUUCUAGACACCACUCAUAUAUUUGCAAAUGCAGAUUAUAAUGGAGGUUGUAAUAGGCAACAUUCUCCUUGUGUUGUACUGAAAAUCAACUUUGACAGGUUCAAAUUAACUUUGUAAUUAGCUAGAGGGCUUUUCAUCGGAAAUUCUGAUGAUGUUCCUCUAGAUGCAGCUACAAAUGAAGAUCCGAACGACUUCCAGUUGUAGAAACACACUUUGAGACGACCUUUCUAAAUUCUAGUGCCUUUCAAAAUGGCUAUCUUAGUUGAGGGCGAUCUCAAUCUUAUCAUUAACUGCGUCAAUAGUGUCAUUUCACCACCUUAAAGACUCAUGAAGAUUGUCUAAGACAAAAAAAGACUUGCACAUAAUUUCAUGGCAAUGUCUUUCAACCAUAUCAAUGAAAAGACGAAUUUUGUAACAGAUGCAGUCGCAGACCUUAGUCAUUGUUAUUUAGACAGUUGAUUGUGGAUCGAUACUAUUUUCUUAUUUCUUAAGGAACCUUCUAAUACCUCCGUCUUUGACUCUCUAAACUUGAGUUGCCUCAAUGACUUUAAUAUUUAGUUUAUUUUGGACUUUUCUUAUUAAAUUACGAAAGCCAAUCAUUCAAUUGAUUUAGCAAAACAAAAAGGAAAAAAAAAUUGUAAUAAAAAAAACAAAAAAGGGAAAGAAAAAAAGUUAGUUAUCAUCACCAUGGGGAGCCUAGAAGGCGCCACAUAUUCAGAACAAGCGUGCUGACUGCUGAGCUCAAAUCCUGAGAAGCCGCGUCCGAGAUUUCCAACGUGCGCUCCCGGGUCCCACUAGGUCAAUGUGUAAAUGCCGCGUCCAGGUUUUCCACGUGGCUCAUCAUCAUCAGAUAGGUACCUACAUUAUCUCCUAAUUAUCUACUCAGCCUAGGGAUGGCAAUAAUCCCCAGCGGGUAGGGUACCCACGGGUAUUCGACCCUAACGGGGNNNNNNNNNNNNNNNNNNNNCUUGAAGAGCUUGACUUUUAUAUGCCAUGCAGUUUCCAGGGUAAGGCCAAGUCCUUUGGCACAUUACGUACUGUCUCUCAAAAAGUAUAUAUGCUCUUAUCAAAAAUCUUAAAUUCAACUUAAGCUAAUAUUCGAGUGAUCGACAUCUUAAGUUGAAUAAUCAUAGAAGACAAUAAAUCAAAACCAGGCUUCAAAUGUACUGGCAUGGGAUGACAAAUUGAGUCAAAAGUUAGGUAUUUGUGAUGGUGAAUCUUAGAUUCUCAUGACCAGGUAUUUUGUUUCAGUUUCUCCCAAGGAAGAAAAUUUCGGUGAUUACGGAAAUUUCGACCCUCCAAAAUAUGGAAAUUUCGACGGAAAUUUCGGGGAAAUAUCGAUUGUAGUAAAAAAAAUGAGAAAAUUGACGGAAAUUUGAAGAAAAACAAGGAAAUUUUAAACCAAACUUUAAGAGAUGUUUGUUUUCUAUAUUAUGUACUAUAUUUGAAAUGAAAACCUUAAAUAAAUAUUGAUCUAUUGGGAGUUUUAGUAAGUUAAAGUGAAAAUGUUAGUGUUGAACCGUUAAUAAUUCUUAAAAGUUUACUUUAAACUUUUUAUUUUAUUUUUUUGUUGGCUGGAAACCUAAAGGGAGGCUAGGCCAUCAAGCCUUAUAUACAUAUGAUACAUUUCACAUAGAAUUACAUGAGUACUUUGAAACCACGUAGAAGACCUAUGAGGUAUAAAAUUUUAAAUUUUCACUAUCUUUUUCGUCUCUCUAUGUAGAGCCUUCAGUGUAUUGUGAAUAAUAUACCUCACUUUUGUAGUUUUGCAUGUAUUGACUAGGGAUGGCAAUAAUCCCCAGCGGGUAGGGUACCCACGGGUAUUCGACCCUAACGGGGAAGAUAUACGGGUAUAAACGGGUAACGGGGAUGGGGAUUCCCAGUAUUCAGAUUCUUAAAUCGGGUACGGGGCGGGUAUGGUAUUUUGAUAUUCGUCCCCAUCCCCACCCAUUAAAGAUGAAAAUAAUAUUAUAUAUAAUUAUAUAAUUUAUUAUUAUAUAUAUUUAUAUAUAAUUUAUAAAUAAAUAUUUAUGUAAAAAAAUUUGUGACUCUCUUAAUAAACAUUUAAUGGACCUUCCUUUUUAUUAUAUAUUAUUAUUCUCUUAAUGAAAUUUACUAGUAUUGUUCUGUUUUAACCAAGACUUGUAUUUUAUUUUUAUUGGAAUGAAACCUUAUUUAUUUUGGUAUUUGAUUUUAAUUUCAUACUUUUAUAUAAUUGUAUUUCAUAUUUUUAAAAAAAAAUUAUUUAAUACAUAAUUGUUAACGGAUACGGGUACGGGUAUGGAAAUGUAAUCCCCAAAGGAUACGGGUACGGGGAAUCCCCAUUAUCUAAUUACGGGUACGGGGACGGGUACGGGGAUGAGAAAUAUAAAAGGGUAUGGGUACGGUAUUUUGAUCCCCAUACCCUACCCUACCCAUUGCCAUCCCUAACUCAGCCUGUCAACACCAACUCUCAUUUUUGUCCUGUCCAAAAUCAUCCCCCUUUUUUUACAGGCGGUAAUUAGUAAAUUUCCUGUUUCGGUCCUAUAAAACCCAAACCCCCCCGGUCUCUCUUUGCACCACCAGUCUUCUUGUUACAGACACUGAGAAAAAAAAUGGCGACUCUUAAAGUACCAGCUUGCGUUCCAUCUCCUGCUGAAGACUCUGAGCAGCUUAGGAAGGCUUUUGAAGGUCUUUUACUUAACACCAAAAUGCAGUCACUUUAAAUACAUACCCUGAUCUUGUUCUGGCUGUUAUUGUUUUGAUUGAUUUGGUCAUGUCUCUGUUUUGAUCUGAUAUGCUUGAUCGAUCAUCUUAACUUUGAUGCUUCUAGCUGUUUUCUUGGUGUUUUUUUUUUGCUUCCAUGUGAUUUUUUGUUCUAUGUGUUAUUGGGAUUGCCAUGUUUAUAAAACUUACAAUGUCAAUGAUAAUAUGAUCAUGAUUCAUAUAGUUUUUUUCUUUUUCUCUCUCUCAAUGUUCUUGGCAAUGAUCCUUUUUGGUGGAUCAAAGUUUAGAACUUCAGAUCUGGAUUUUAUUUUAUAAGUUAUCUUGUGGAACCAGUUUGUGGUUUGGAAGCUGGUGUUUGAAAUGUUUUGUUACAAUCUGAUAUGGACGAUUUUGAUAAUCUAAAGCUUGAUCUGCUUUGUGAGUUGUGAUUUUGUGUUUCUGGGUUUUAAAUGUAAUGGGGUUGCAAACAUUGUAAAGUUCAGUAUGUUUGAUCAUGAUGAUCACGAAUUCACGAUGGAUGUGUUAGCUUAUUCUUUCAGUUUCACUGUUAUCGUUAUUGUUGGAUAAAAGUGUUGGAUCUAGAUCUCUUUGACAAUUAUCCUGUGGAGUGAUAAGUGAGGCUCACUAUUGACUGGAACCUUCUUUAGCAUAUAUUUAAACAAUAGUGGUUAUUAGAUUUAUGGCGAAAGCAAGGCCUUAGUGCUAAACCACUAUACCUCUGUAUGACUUUUUCCUAGUAAUCCGCUCAAAACUAUACUAGUUUCCUUGCUCAUUGUUCACAUGUUGACCACCUUCCUUGAAUCUUUCAUUGGUUCCUAUAUCUGAUUGUGGUAGCUGAGGUGGUUUAACCGCUGUAAGCAGGAAAGUCAUAAACUAUUGACACAAUUAUGGACACUUGUAUUCUCAAUCAAGAUAAUAAGUUUCACUUUAUAAAAGUAAUAGUGAGUGGCUAGACCCUUGAGUCUCAAGAGAUUCAAAGAUUUUUCUAAUAGCAGUUGGAGAGGAGGUGAAAUGAAAAGGAGCUGACUUUUUCUAAUAGCUGCAUGUGUCUAUUGAUUUUAUGGUCUUCUAUUCCUGAACAGAACAUCACAAGCUAACUUUUGUAAUUUGUAUGUAGGAUGGGGCACAAAUGAGGCACUGAUCACUUCCAUAUUGGCUCAUAGGAAUGCUGAUCAGAGAAGAUUAAUUCAGCAGACUUAUGCUGAAACUUAUGGGGAGGAUCUUCUCAAGUCACUGGAUAAAGAACUCUCAAGUGAUUUUGAGGUUAUAUUUUGAUUACUCUAUUCAUUUAGAUAGAGGUAAAGCAGCCUUUUCUAGUUUCAAGUGCACUGAUUUGUAUGCUUGGUUUUUCUUAUUUUGUUGCGCACCAGCGCGCUGUGAUGCUGUGGACACUGCAUCCUUCUGAGCGGGAUGCAGUUUUGGCUAAUGAGGCUACAAAGAGGUUCACUUCAAGCAAUUGGGUUCUCAUGGAAAUAGCUUGUUCUAGGUCUUCAUAUGAACUGCUCCAAGUAAAGCAGGCUUACCAUGCUAAAUUCAAGAAAUCCCUUGAAGAGGAUGUUGCAUUUCAUACAUCUGGAGACUUCCGUAAGGUACAACCUUGAAACUCCAAAAUGAUUAAUCAUUUGAUGUGCUCUGACGUGGCUAGUUGGUAGAUUGAUAUAUAUCUAAGUGUCCAUAUUAUUCAAACAUGUUCUUGAUUAUAAAUUCAAUUAUUAUCCUUCCAGAUAUUCUGCACCUUAAUCUUAGACACUGACCUUCUGGCCUAGAUUUUUUUUUUUUUUUUCCCUCCUUUCCUUGAUUGAUGUUUAUGCAUUGUUUCAUCAGUUAAUCAAUAUGUAUGACUUAACUUUGACUCUGUUACAGCUUUUGGUGCCUCUUGUGAGUGCUUUCCGAUAUGAAGGAGAUGAAGUCAAUGUUACAGUGGCAAAAAGAGAGGCUAAGAUACUUCAUGAGAAAAUCAAGGACAAACACUACAAUGAUGAGGAACUCAUCAGGAUCUUCACUACCAGGAGUAAGGCACAGCUGAAUGCUACUUUCAAUCAGUACAACAAUGAGUUUGGAAAUGCCAUUACCAAGGUAAUAAACAUCUCCCUCUGAUACAUAUGGUCAUGCAAAUAAUUUGAAAUGCCAGGAUGUAUACUCGCUCUUCAUUUGAUUUGAUGAUAUCUUGCUGCUAUUGAAACUGUUAAUGUGGUAUCUAAUAUCCAGGAUUUGAAGGCUGAUCAAGAUGAUGAAUUCCUCAAAUUACUGAGAGCAACUGCCAAACUAUUGACCUUCCCUGAGAAAUACUUUGAGAAGCUUCUGCGUCUGUGUAUCAACAAGCUCGGAACAGAUGAAGGUGCCCUUACUAGAGUCAUCACCACCAGGGCAGAGGUCGACCUGCAUCGCAUUAAAGAAGAAUACCAGCGCAGAAACAGUGUUCCUUUGGACCGCGCAAUUGAGAAGGACACUUCUGGUGACUAUGAGAAGUUUCUUCUGGCACUGCUUGGACAGGGAGACUGUUGAGCGUCGUUCCUAUUCCCAGAAUAAUAAUUAUGAAGACAGUUCAUGUUAUUUGCCAUGGCUGGUCUUUGCUUCUUUUUUUGGACUGAGCUAGUCUUUGCUUGAAUUCAUCUUUUAUAUGGUUGUGUGGACUCUAUACUAUUUAUCUUGCUAGUCGGGCUACAGUAAGAUUAUGUAUCUGAGUUGGUGUUGUUUAUGGAGUUGCUUGGAGUUCUAUAUGUUAAUUUUCAAUUCUCCUCUUUUUCUUUCAGAAAAUAAUAAUCUUACUACAGAAAAUAAUAUUGAACAGUUGAACAGUCUGUAAGCUAACAAAAUCUCUUGAAUUCAUACGUCGUUGCUCAUCCGAGAGCAACAUAGCUCCAGAGGUCCAAGUUUUGGCUUCAACCAGGCAGCAUCAAUGGUGAAGAGAACAUCAUGAAAAGAUAGAAACUAAAUACUACUACGAGUUUAUCCAUCAGACCAAGAAAAGAAUCUCUAAGCUAUUCCAGUAGAAUGAUUCGAGUUUUCUCACCCACAGAAAUCCUAUAUUCCUCUAAUUGCAGUCUUUGUAUAAACUGAUAGAUUCGCUUUUACAGCAAAGGGACAUGGACGGCAAAUAUGAAGUGCUAGAUUCAUUUUCAUUUUAUGUCAAAUGCAGAAUCUAACAAUCUAGUGUUCAAACUAUGGCUUAUCCACCUGAUUCAUACCACACCAAAAAUAAAGAUCUGAACAAUUAACUGCUGGCAUAGUUUAUAAAGAUUGGUCCAUGAACAAGUAAUUAGUAAACACUACAGUAAAAAAAAAAAGAAGUAAUUAGUAAACACAUACUUGAAACUGAUAAAGAAACUUGUAAUAACUAAAAAUAACCCAAUUAGCCAAACCUCAUGUUUUUCUGACUACAAGUUUUGCACUACUCGUCUAUAAAUAUAUCACUACUACCGUUUCAAAACUCAGGAUGCUGAUCAUCACAAGGGUAUGCAAGGGUUUUACAUGUCAAAACAGAGUUCACACUGAGAUCAACUUUAUUUGAAAUGACAGAAAGUGACCAGUUAGAGAUUAUGACAGCUUAAACCAAUGAUAUGCUGCUCUCGCCGCCAGGGGGCUUGCGAACACCACCGAGAUAGUCUCUUGAUGCCGCCUUUCCAUCAGCAAAAAUGUUGCUGCCACUCAUUUCUCUCAGCUUAGCUGUGCUCAGGGGCUUUUCAGCAGAUCCCGGAGAAACAUCUCCCUUAAAUAUGUCAUUGCCUGUCAGCUCUGCAAACUUCUGGUUAUGAAUUUUCUUGGAAGUCUUGACAACAGGGUCCUCAGUGAACAAGAUUUUACUCUGACCACCAGCAGGCUGUGUCAAUGUAAAGAAAUGUUUAAUGUCAAGUUAUAGAGGAAAAAAAAUAUCUUUUGAGAUACUUCAGCAUUAUCCGUUUAGUAUGAUAUGCCAGGGCACAUUAAUAUGAAGCAGCAGAUUCCCAAUUUACUGUUUGAGUUCAAUCUCACAACAUGACAUCUCAUAUCACAACAUCAAAUGCAAGACUUUUUUGACACAAGAACACUACCUAGCUCAUAGUUUUGCAUUAAAACCAGGUUUUAAGAUUCUUUUUGGCCCUCUAACUAGUAUAAUCUUAAGUGCAUUAUGGGGGCGGAUCCGUGACAUACAAGAAUAAAAUCAAAAUUAUAACCAAAAUAUCAACCAUUAGAUCUAUUAACAACUAACGGUUGAAAUUAGUCAUAAAACUAAAUUUUUUUUUCUUUUCUUUUCUUUUUAUUUAAAUCAAUUAAGGAAAUCUAUCUAUUAAAAACAUAAUGAAAAUUGAUGAUUACCUACUCUAAUUUUGGAAUACAAUUAAUAGGAAAUUAAUGGUUUCCUAUUGGAGAAAUUUUUAAGUGCUACGGGAGGACCAUGUGGCAAUCUGACGUGGUCCUACAUUCCAAUCAAAUUUAGACACGUGGAUUUUUUACAACUAAAAUGUAAACUAAUAUUUUCUAUUUUUUGUGAAAUGACAUUCAUGGGUAUUUAGCAAGUUCAACCUAGGGUUUAGGGUUUAGAGAUUAGGGUUUAGGGUAUAGGGUUUAAGGGUCUAGGGUUUAGGGUCUAGGGAUUAGGGUUUAGUAUUUAAAAAACAACAUAAAACCCAAAAUGGUCUUUAACAAAAUAGCUGAAAUAAUUUUUCAUGAAGAAAAUCCACAUGUCUAAAUUUGAUUGGAAAGUAGGACUACGUCAGAUUGCCACGUGGUCCUCCCGUAGCACUGAAAAAUUUCUCUUCCUAUUGAAACUCAUUUACUAGAUAAAAAAGGAAAAAAUAAAUAUCAGAUGAAGUCAUGAAACUCAUUUCCUAGAGAGUACCAUCAUCAUCUACCUCUUCUUCUUCAAAGAAAAAAAAAUUAUACAGAUGAUGUCUGCCACAACACGUUGGAAAACUUAUGAUCAGAUUAUGUAUGGGAGUACUCAUAUCAUCUUGUGCUAUGAACAACAAGAAGCUUUUUAUAAAAAAAACAAGAAGCUUUUGAUAAAAAAAAACAAGAGGUUGAAAUAAGUACAUCUAAGGUGCACUAGAUGCCACUUUCGACUACAGUCAAUUUUCUAAUGUGAUAUUUGAGACUUAAUUUGUUUUAUUUCCUCUCUAGUACAUAAGUUUCAAUAGGAAACAAAUUAUUUCCUCUUAAUUAUAUUCUAAACGGAGAAUAGUAAUCAUCAAUUUUUAUUUAGAUAGAUUUCAUAAUUUGAAUUAAAGAAAAAGAAAAGAAAAGAAAAAAGAUUUAGUUUUAUGACCAAUCUCAACCGUUAGUUGUUAAUAGAUCUAAUGGAUGAUAUUCUAGUUAUAAUUUUGAUUACAUCAAAUGCAAGAUUUUUUUGACACAAGAACACUACCUAGCUCAUAAAUUUUGCAUUAAAACCAGGUUUUAAGAUUCUUUUUGGCCCUCUAACUAGUAUAAUCUUAAGAGCAUCUUUAACAGACUCUCUGCUUUAACUCCUUAGCUAUUUUAGAGAGCGUGUUUAGCUUUUUUGAAUGUUUAGGAGCUCUAGCAGACUAGCCAAACUUAAGCUAUUAUGACUUUUAGCUAUCUCGUUAGCUAUAUUUAGCUAGCGAGAUGACUCAGAUGAGGCUAGCUAUAAUUUAAUACAUUCCUUGUAAGAUAUUUUAUGUGAUAUAUAAAUAUAUUUAAACUAUUUAAUUUCUAUUUGAAGAAUAAUGUUGAUGUAAUACUAACUAAAAUAGAGAGCAUUAAUGCAGCUAUAUUUCUAAAGCGGCUAGCCAAAAUGACAUUUUAGCUAAUUUGACUAAAAUUUAACUUAAAAAUGGCUAGCAUUGCUAAAGAUGCUCUAAGUGCAUUAUAUCUUAACUAUCUGAGUAUGGACAUAUAGGCAGGUACAUUGUUGUUUUGAGUUAUAUUAACAUAAAUUGUGCACAUUUUGGUUAGCUAACUAAAUAAUGUACCCUAUGUAUCACUAAUUCGAAUACAGAUGAUUCUAAUUAUCCCAAGUUAUAAUCCAGAACAAUUUAUAUUCCCAAACUGACCAAAUUAUCAUACUUAAACCUACACAAAGAGACCAAAAAAACUCGCUCACAUUGGAAACUUUGACAGAAGUUCGAAGAUUUCUGGGCGCUGGCUCCCCGGAAUCUUUACCCUGCUUAUUAUAGUCAUGGGUACCAACAGCAUUAACCGAUCGGGGAACAAUCUCUGGGGGAGGGCCAAAGAUGUCAUUUCCACUAAGCUCCUUGUUCUUCGCUUUUGAAAUCCCCUUCUGAGUCUUGGAAUCCAAUUCCGAUUGCAAAGUCCCACACAACUCCCUCUGCUUGGCCACCUCCGGAAUACUCGUCGGCUUCUUCGGGGUCACGUGCUCGUCAACGCUGAACGAGAUUUGACUGAUCCCGUUGACCGCCUGCUGGUAAACCCGACCUGGUUGUUCCGGCUCCGCAUUGCCUUCGCCAGCGAAUAUGCCGCUGCCGGAUAUCUCCUUCAGCUUGUAACCGGAACAGGGCUUCCUGUGUGAACCAAAAACACGGAUCUGAGAAGAAGGCUAAAAUCGGAAAAUAAAAUGAAGAAAUGUGCACUGCCGGAUCUAAAAUUAGAAACCGGAUCUUACUUUUUGUUCAGGCUCUGAGCUUCUUCCUCGGUGAUCUGACCGCCGUGGAGCACCUUGCUGAUCCCAUCCGACGGCUGUAAAAUCCAAUCCGCAGCUCAGUUAGCUACUUUGAUAAACUCAAUCACCGUGAUAGUUGGUUAGUUGGAGUAUGAGGGGGUAAAGAAGUAAAAUUUAACCUGGUGAGAGCGAUGUUUGGAGGGGGCGGUGGCGGGAGAGUCAGAGCGGGGGACCUCUUGCCACGUAAGCAUGUCAGCGGUGUCGCGGCGGGGCUUUCUCACUGGAGUGGCCAUUGUUGUUGCUGAUGUCUAUACCGCUCUCUCUGUUUUAGUAUCUGAGUUUUUUUUGUCUUGGGUUUUUGAAAGAGAGAGAUAUGGUUUGUUUGGUUUUGAAAUUUGAAAAUAAUAAUAAAUAGUGGAAAGGUACGAAAUACCAUGACAUGAUGUCAUUUUCGAAACCAGGAGAAGUGAAGGAUCUGUGACUGUAACGUGUACACGUGGAAGCGAUAUUAUACGGUAUGGAAUACGACACCACCGGAGAUAAUCGAGAGAGAUUCUUAGGUGCGGCACUCGCACCACGUCACUAAUACGACUGUCCAGUCAUUGACAGACACAUAUUAAUUUUUUGUCCACAUCACCACUACAAAAAAGCAAAUCGGAGUCUCCUGUUCUCCGAUCAAAACCCACGUUCUCUCACCUUCUCAUCCUCUACCUCAGUCUGAAUCCCCCUCCCCCCACCAUCGUGACAUCGUCCCCGCCAUCGAUCUUUCUCUCAAGGUCUUCUCCUCCUUCAACCACCGCUCAUUCACUCCCACCCUCGAAACCAACCGGCGAAAGCCCCUCGACCCGCCGCCCGCCUUCCCUUCCCUCAACCCCUCCUCCCUUCGCCGUAGCCCGAAACUGAUCUUUCUACCCGACCCCGGCCUAGUUACUAUGAGCUUAAGCGUGAGGGAUUUGUUUGAGGGUGGGUUACCGUGAGGGAUUGGGGGUGACGCUUUGAGGGGUGGGAUUGAGGUGGAGGAUGGGAUAGGGAGAGCCUGGGUUUUUCCGAAGGAUAGAGAGAGGCAUGAGUUUUGUUUGAUCGGCUGGGUUUUGUUUGAUCAGAGAUCACCUCCGACUUCUCUUUCUUCUUCUUCCUUCCAGCCAUGUCCACCUCAGAAAAGAAAUGACAUGUGUAUGUUACUCAGUGGUCGGUCGUAUGGAUGACGGGGUGCGUGUGCCGCACCUAAGAAUCUCUCGAUAAUCGAACUUGAUCACAUACGGAAACAGAUUAGCUCAAUUUAGAGCAUAGAGGUAGAUUAAUGGAGAUCAAGUCCAAGCUAAUCGAUUUCUGUAUGGACUUGGUUUAAAUCUUUAUCAAAUCUAGUUUACUUAGAGCAACUCCAACGAGUCGUCAAAUGAUAGGGUGGAGUCUCAACAGAAAGAAAUGGCUGGAAAAUUUACUCCAACGGUUGUGUCAAAUCUGACGUGGAUUUGACAACUCUCUUCACAUUGUCAAACUUGACCGUGCUCAAGAAGUUGGCAAAUUAUUUUUCUUGAUUGUUUAAUCAACUCUCUUCUAUUCCCUUCUGUCUUCUCUCCUUCUUACACAUACCCAAAAUCUCUCAUGGCAGAUUUUGAAUAUGUUUUUCUUGACUUCUAAUUUUUGUGGGUUGUCUGAUAUUAGAAUAUAGGCAUGAAGAUUUUUACAAAAGAUAAGAAGAAGAUCUAGGCAGAGAUGGAGGAAAUAGAAGAGAGGAAGAUAGGCGAAGGGAUGACUUUUUUGAAAGGAAAAGAAAUCAGAGAAGAAGAGUUCAUGGAAAGAAAGAUAAAAUAACAAAGAAUUCAAUUAUAGAGGACGACUGGUAGAUAUAAAGCCUUUGUUUGGCAUGGAUUAGUUCUGGUAGUGGAGAAUGACUUUGUCUGAGAAAGAAGAGGUCUAGUGGCUUCGUCUGAGAAGUGGAGAAGAGACAAACUGAUGAAGUACCAGAAGAGUUGUAGAAGGAGAGAAGAAAGAUAAGAUAAAAGUACUACUUUAAUAAAAUAAAAUAAAUAACAAAUGAAUUUAUUUGACAUUUUCAUUGGAGGGGAAGUUUGUCACAAAUAACCUUGUCAUGUCAAAAAUCAAAUUUGAAUUUGACAAAGGUAAAAUAACCACUUCAUUGGAGUUGCUCUUAGAUGCAUUGGUACAGUGGUAGUUCUAACCUAAUUUUCAACUUUACGGGCAUCUUCACUAUCUUGGUUCAUUCAAAUUGUGUCUCGAUAAUUCUAUGUUAAAACAUAAAAAUGUGGGUAACAACAUAUUAUUUUUUGGAUUAAAUUCAGUGCUACCUUGAACUUUAAGUCACUCAUCAGUUGUGUCCCUAUUCUUUUUUCUUCAUCACGUAUAUCUUUGUACUCUCGAAAUCAAUCACGAUUGAACAAAAUUUCAAAAUNNNNNNNNNNNNNNNNNNNNACUCCCAAACCCACUCUUCAAUUCCCCUUCAACCCUAAAAAAACCUACCCUCUCCCGCCUCGCCCUCGUCGCCAUCACCGCCAGGAGAAGACCCCAUUUACAGAUGUACUUCGGUAUCACUUGGGCCAACGGCAGUUCGGUUCGAACCGAAGCAUCGAAGGAUCGGGUCCCCAUCUCGGAUCUCGAAUCCCAAUCGUUAUCUUCAUUAUCAGAUGAGCUCGUGGUGCUGUAGUGAGUAUUGGUCGGAGCUGGAGGAAUACUGCUAGAGGAAGAAGUCGUACUCUUCGAAUGAGAUUAGGAGUGGUUUUUAGGGGAGGCGAUUAAGGAUUUCGAGAUUUUGCAUAAGGGUUAGAUUUUGGAUUUGGUGGUGACGGGAAGAGGGGGGUUCUCGGCAGAGUUUAUCGUGGGUGUAAUUGGAUUUGGUGGUGGCGGGAUUGUGAGAUUUUGGUGACACUUUGGUGGUGGGUGCGGUUGAGUUUGGUGAAAGAAGGCGUAGGAGCCUUUGGGGAAGGUGAAGAUUGAAGUUCUAGGGUUAGAUUUUGCAGAAGGGGAAGUGAAGAAAAUGGAGGAGGGAAGUUGUAGAGAGAGGGGAGAAGGAAUUAAAAGAAAAUAAGAAAUUAAGAAUUGAAGACAAAUUAAAAAAAAUGGAAAAAGAAAAUGACUUAAAAGACGUUUUUUGCCCACCAUUUGGGUUAAGAAUUGAGCGGUGGGCCAUCUUUGUCUCCUCACGUUAGAUGUUUACCUCAUGUUUGGAGAAAUUUUGAAAUUUUGUCCAAUCCUGAUUGAUAUCGAGAGUACAAGGGUACACGUGAUGAGAAAAAAAUAAUAGAGACACAACUGAUGAAUGACCUAAAGUUCAAGGUAGCACACUAAAUUUAAUCAUUAUUUUUUUGUCUAAAAAUAAAAGUGAUUAGACACGUAGAUACAUAUUGAGUUGUCUUUACUAUUGGAUAGCUACUUCAUGAUAAAACCUUAAUUAUAUUCAAGUUUUGUAUUCUUAACACUACUUUUAGCAUCUACAACAUUAAAAAUUUACCAUAUCAAAUAACAAGACUUUAGAAGUCUCAAUAUGAACCCUAUCAUGGGAACCACUAGAGUAACCAAGAUCAGCAAUAACAUCCAUUAUAAAAUUGGCUUCACGAAAGACACGUUUAAAUUAUUAAUGGAAUCAAAACUAAUCACCACAUCUCUAAUGUCUUGAACUAACUUGAUCAAUCUCUAAAAGGUAGAUCAAUUCGAUCAUUCACUACUUCAACUACGAAAUUAGAAUCUCCAUUCACUUCAACUCUAUCUUGUCAAGCCUUUCUCAUUCGCUUUCACCAGACUAUCUCUUAAUGAUAACACCUAAGCAACAAGCACUGAAGCUCUUCUAACUUGGUUGGAUGCUACAUAUAUAUGUUAGUCGAGAUGAACAUCCCGGAAGAGUAAACCACUUGCCGCGGAAUUUCUCAUAACUAAACCAUCAAAGUUGUUUUUUUUAACAAAAGAACUAGGAGGUGUUUAUCACCUAAUAGUGGUACUUGGGUUUUAAAGUUGCACUCCACUAGAAAUAAUAUCAAGAUCAACACACCUCAAAGAAAAAAAAGCUGAUGCCAUGAUAGUUUAAACUUUAAAGGGAAUUAGUAAGUUUUUUUUUUUUUUUUGAUUGAAAAAGGAAUUAAAAGUUGCCCAUCUAAAAAUUGUAUCAUUCUUGAUUUUCCAAACCUGUUGGCAUAUGGUAAGCAGUUUUGCAAACAAAUCAGCAUCUUAAGACUAAGUAACAUAUAGUUCCUUAAAAAGACGUUAAUUAAGAACCCCUCUUCCUAGUAAAUUGGGGAGACAAUAUUUACCAAAUUCCAUACUUGAUUGAUGACGAAGUCACAAUAUCCAAAAAGAUGGUUAGUUGUUUUUUUUUUUUAGAGCAAUCCAUAGUUUUAUUCAAAUAAAAAAGACUACAACACAACGGAAUUAUCAGUGGUGGACAUUCGUUCCCCACUUAUUUCCCCACUACUAGAAACAAUUACGAGUCUAUCAUCGAAGAUGACAUCCAUGAGCCAAUCAGGCCCAACCCGUAACCAUGUAAAACGCCCUUCAACACGGGCUACAAACUAAGCAAUCGAAUGUGUCACAAGAUUAGCACUUCUAGGAGUAUAAGCAAUAACAUCUCUACUAACCUCAGGUAGUAGCAUUCUAAUUUUCUCGAACAAAACUUCAUCCUCAACAAAACACUCCCAUGUCUCAUUCAUCAAGUUAACAGCCUCUAAAUAAUCAGUUUCUAUGCGCUCCACCUGCCAACCUCUUUCAAUCACAACCUCAAUACCUAUCAGUAUUGCCAACAGCUCAGAAACGCGAGGACUGAGGCGUCCUUGCAGUCUUUCUCCCACAGUCAAAACCAACUCCCCAAUGCAGACCUGUAAAUGGACCGGAUCGACCUAGAUCCGGAUCCGACCUGUUAUCAUUGAUAGCUCGGACCAAAUCCUGAUUCGGAAGGUUAAUGGAUACCCGACCCGUUAAUCUGAUCCAUUUAUAAUAAUAAAUAUUUUCAAAUUUUAAAUAAUUUCUUAAUUUUAUCAUAAAUUUUCAUAAAACACUAAUGAAAUGUUAUAACAAAAUAAAAGUUUACAUCAAAAGUUGAAUUACAUGGCCAAAAUACUCCUUAACAAUAAACUAAUAUAAUCAAAAUACUAGACCUAAUAUAAUCAAAAUACUAGACCUCCAAUGUUUUUAGCAAAGAGCAUAAAAAAAAAUAUAAACAUCAAUAAUCUUCAACUUCAUCAAAUCAUACUUUAGAAGCAAUUUAAACGUUUAGGUUAUCCAAAUAAUUAUUAUAUUAUUUAAUAUUUAUCAGUAAUAUUAUAUUUAUAAAAAUAUUAUAAUUAUUUUAAAACGGAUCUGGGUCCUUAACGGAUCGGAUUAACCUCGAUCCGUAUCCGAUCUGUUUAAUAAACAGGUUAACUGAUGCAGGUCCUUAACGGAUUAACGGGUCAAAUUUUAGACAUAAACCCGUUUAAAAACCACAGAUCCGGAGUGGGCCCGGAUCAAGAUCAAGUCCAUUUACAGAUCUACCCCCAGGCUAUUUCUUAGCACUGCACUAGUACCAACACAAACCCAAUUUUCAAACACAGCAGCGUCGCAAUUAAGUUUCAAUGAACUUGGACUAGGUGCACACCACCUACUCCUACCAUGCUGAGUUUCCCACCCAUUAUUCACCUGACUACGAUGCUGCACAACCAUCAUACUAUCCCACAUUAACACUCCUUGCUCAUAUAGUAGAUUAGAAGGUCGAUGAGGCUACUGUCACGCCCCAAUUUUUGAAAAUUUUUUCGAAAUGAACUUUUCAAAAAUUUUGGCAUGAUAUAACUUAAAAUACUAUAAUCCCAAAACUUGUUUCAAUAAAAUUCAAGGAGAAAGUAACUCAAUGCGGAAAGUAAAUUUACACGCAACUCCAAAUUGAGUUAAAUAUUACAUUUUCUUGUUUACAUAAACUUGAGAGUUAAGAAAUGAAACUCUCACAUGAGUUUAAUAUUGUCUAUCCCAAUGUAUAUAUAUAAAAAAUAUAUAUACAAUGAACAACCAAAACCCAACAAAAAAACCUGCCACUAAGCAUCCACCUCAACCCUGCUGAUCCUCACCUGCAAGUCUAACCCCUACACCAAGAAUUGGUGCACCGGGUUGUAAACAACAAAUCCGGUAAGCUAAAAAGCUCGUAUGAGUAAACUCAAAAAUAACACAACAUUUAUCACAUCCAAUAUUCCACAAGAGAGAUUGGAUCAAUAAUUAAAAACCACACAUCCAACACAUUACCCAAGAAAUGUACCCAUGAGUCACAGAUAUUUAAUAAAAUACCCCUUAUGACUUACAACAACACAAUGUGUACCCAUGGGUCCCAGAUACCAUACAGUAUCUCCCAUGACCUACACUGACAGACGGACUAGAGCUCUAUUCCUAACCGUAACCAAUCACCCGGCCAAAGGCUUAGAAUCCGGUUUGACUGUCUAAUAAUCAACACAAAAGUGAUAAAUAGCAUCUUAACUGCAACCAAUCACCCAAUUAAAGGCUUAGAACCCGGUUUGGCUAUUUAUCUAACAAUCAUAAUAUCACAACAUUAUACUCAACAACAUAAUAUCACAUCAUUAUUCACAAUAACACAAUAUCACAUCAUUAUUUUAUAUCCUUCCACAUGGAUAUAUUUACAUGAACAAAUUAUAGAUAUUCCAAAAGAAUAAUCUAUCAAUAAUCAAUAAAAUUAUGAUCACAUGAAUCUCAAAAUAGCAUUUAAAGAAAACUUGUUUUAUCUUACCUAUGAGCCGUUGACGAUCAAGCUCAUAUAUAUUUAAAAUAAUUAAAAGCAUAUUUUUAAAUCCAACAUUAUCAUCAUUAUUAUCAUAUGACCAUAAUAACAAUAGGUUCAAAAGUGAACCUUGGUGAGAUUUACUCACCUAAAUAUCCCGCUGCAAAUUUCACAACCGACCAAGGCAAACUAAACACAACUUCACAAAUCACCUAAAAAAUAGCACAAUUAAAACCUUAGUAACUAAAAUACUAUAGGUUAUCACAAUACCCUUAACUAACCCUUAGUUCAAGGGAGGACAACUUUCCAAAGUCGUCGAACUUAGAGACCCAAAAUGGCUGCCUCUAAUCCUCAAAUCCUAACUCAAACCUCAACCAAGCCUACACAAAUAAACCUAAGUCCUAACAUGCCAACCUUGCUUAAAAUCUAGCCACACUACCACUCAACAAGCUCACAACAGUAAGGACUAGCUAACCACAGGAAACUAAGGCCGCAACUCAGCCGGACGCGCCGCCACGCGCCACCAUAGGCGGCGGCGAGUGGGCCCCAUGCGCCACCCCAAACUUCCGAAUUAGGAGAAACUCACAACAGCAAAGUUGAAGCUUGAAGCAAGGGAAACAACUUUCAUACCUGAGACUUCGACCAAUUUUGGCCGGAAACUGCCCCGAAACCCUAACCCGUAAUCACUCUUCAAACCUGCAAAACCGGCUUCAAAACCUCAAAAACUCACUUCAAUCUAUGCCUAGACACUACUAGGAGGAGGAGAGGAUCAAAACUCACCUAAGGUUGCCCCUUGUCGCCGCCGUAUAUGGCGGUUCCGAUCGGUGGCACAGCAGCCCCCUUUUCUGGUCGAAAGCGUUGUUUUCGGCAUCCCACACCGAGUAGCAGCUGCCCAGCCUUGAAGAGGACACCUGUGGGAGUCGAACGGGACCGAUGGCGGUCCGAUUGGUGGCCGGACGGCGGAGCUAGCUCCGGCGGAAGUUAUGCUCUCGGGAGAGCUCGGGAGAGGAAGGGGGAGAAGAGAGAGAAGAGAGAAGAGAGAAAAGAGAGGGAAGAGAGAAAAAAAGAGAGGCUGACCUAUUUUUAGGGUUCCCAAAAACAUCCCACACACAUUUUUCUACUUAUACUCUUUUCAAACCCGGAAACAAACUUCCUCUAACCAUAACUUCUUCAUACAACAUCCAUUUGAGGCGUGCCGCAUGUCUACGAACUCGUAUCGACAAACUCUACAAAUUUCGUGAAGGAAAUUUUCGAAGAUAACUUAUGAAAAAUAAAGUCAACUUUUGGCCUCUUAAAAGUCAAAGCACCUUAAAUAAAUUCCCGAAACUUCAACUUCGCAUAACCAAAGAAUUUUCAUAAAUAAUCCUUCAUUAAUUAAGGAAAUAAUACAAAAAAAUUGAUAUGAAAAUCUAGGGUAUUACACUCACCAUGUAUUACUCUAUUACGCUCUGCCCAAUGACUCCAAAGUAAAAUAACCAACAACUUCAUUUCAUUCAAAGAAACAACCGUAAUAGCAUGGUCAAAAAAUUCUGAAAAAUCCGAAAACAUACCCGAAACCAGCUUGUCAUAAAAGCUCAACCUCUCCAACACCGCAACACUAUAGGGACAUAAACAUAUUGCAUGCAAUGGUGUUUCGUUAUAUUGCUGACAUCUCGGGCAUAAAGGAUGAUGGGCGAUAUAACAUUGAUAUAAGGACCAUAGACAUGGAAUAAAUCCCAUGGAACAGCGUCAAAGGAAGUGACACAUUUUCGGAGGCACCUUCAGUUUCCAUAAGUGCUUCCAGUAUGCAAAAACAAUCGGAGCAGAUCGAUGCCACUUUUGUGUAGCCAAUCAGUAUGCACUUUUAACAGAAAAUUUUCCAUGUUUAUUGCGAGUAGUCCAAAUCAAUUUAUCCCUACCAUUGUUACGAACCAAAGGAAUACUUAGCACUGCCUCCAUUUCACUAGUAGUAUUAACAUGUUCCAAAGCUUGCAUACACCAAAAUCUCAAAGCCGAUCUUAGUUCUCCCACCUUCAUAUUCCAAUCCAAACCAUUCUUCCAAGCAAUUAUGAACUUAGGUAUAGAUGGGACACAAAGAUCCUCGAAAACCCGAAUACUAUCACCACUACUCACUCUCUAUCGCAGCCCUUCUAAAAGUAGUUCUUUACCCCACAUUAUAGCCCACCAACUAUUGGAGGGAGAUUUGCCAACUUUAGCUUCUAGAAACUGACUUUGAGGGAAGUACUUAGCCUUAACAUCCUGUGAACCAACGACUUAUCAUCUUGCUCCAACCUUCAUCCAAUCUUCGCAACAAGAGCUUUAUUAAAGCUUUGGAACUCCCGAAAACCCAAACUACCUUAAUUCUUAGGGACACAGAGUUUCUCCCACUUCCUCCAAUGUAUACCCUUCUUACCAUUCGACUACCCCCAUUAGAACCUCGCCAAAUGCUUAUUAAUCUCAUCACAAAUCCCAAUUGGAAGCUGAAAUACACUCAUUAUGUAAGUCAUGAUAGACUGCGCCACUACUUUAAUACAAAUCUCUUUUCCGCCUUUUGAUAACAUUUUACUUUCCCAACCCUGAAUUUUCUUCCAGACCCUAUCAGUCACACCUUUGAACAGUUUCUUUUUGCUCCGACCCGUAACAGUACGAAGUCCAAAGUAUCACUUGUGAUCUAGAGCCUCACUACAAGCCUCCUUGAUAUUGGCAGAUGUUCUUGGACUGAAACACACCGCCGAUUUUUCAACAUUGAUUUUCUACCCCGAAUUCCUCUCAAAGACUGCAAAAAUCUCCUUUAGCUUUAAACGAUCACUGUUGCACAAAUUCAUCUUUGAUUUUUUUUUUUUAAGAAAGAUAAACAAUUUAUUAAAUAGGAUCCAAAAUUACAAACCACGGGAAAUAUCGGGAGGGACAAAAAUUCCUCACUCGCCUCUCUGCCUAAACACCAACAUUACGAUAGACAAGAACCGAUAAGGUUUAACUGUAACAUGACAUAUUCUAAAAGUCUCGAUACAUCCUUAUAACCAACCUCAAGAGGAAACAACCUCCUCAAGCAGUAGAUACCAAAACCGCCAAUACAUAUGCCAAAACAACAUCCCCAUUAUAUUGAUAACAAGAACUAACCGAUAAAAGCAAUAGUAUCCGAAAACGACAUCAUAACCAUAACACACUCAACGACACGACCAAAUGACACCAAACCUAACAAAACUCUAAACCCUCGCUCAAAUAGAAUGCCAAAACCCAAAUUCAUCUUUGUUUUAUUUGAACAGUUGAGUAGAGAACCUCUAAAUUCCCAUAUCGUGUUGCAAUUUGGAUUGGGUUGGGUUUUGAAUUGGACUUUUUCAUAACCUUAAUGAUAGGCCUUAGCUUUUGGGGCUUGAACUUAUUAUAGAUUUAUAGUUGCCCACUUGCCCUCUUCUUUCUUCUCUGUAUGAUUCCACUAUAUUAUUCUCUCGGGAGAUAAAUGCAAGCACAUAAACCCCAUCCAAAAUCCCUCACAUGGCUGCUCCAGUUCCACUGACUGUUGAGACCCAACUCAUUCAGUCUUUGUUUGCAAUUGUACUCAAGGGUCAUUGGAGCCACCUCCUGAAUCCCAAGCUUGGGUCUUGUCUCACCUCAUCCGCCAUCCACCAGGUACUCCUCCAACUCUCACUCUAUGGCUACACCCCUUCACUUUCCUUGUCUUUCUUCAAAUGGGCAGAGUCACUACCCAAUUACAAGCACUCCUUGCAGUGCUCUUGGACCAUGGUUCACAUUCUCACCAAACACAGGCACUUCAAAACUGCGCAUCAAUUUCUUGAGAAGAUUGCCUUUAGGGAUUUCUUGUCAUCCCCGUCGGUUUUGAAUGCUUUGAUUCCGACCCAAGAUGACCCCGAUGUGAAUUCCCAUGUUUUGAGCUGGCUUGUGAUAACUUAUGCUAAUUCUAAGAUGACCCAAGAUGCUAUUCAGGUUUUGGAGCAUAUGAGGGUACAUGGGUUUAAGCCACAUUUGCAUGCUUGUACUGUGUUGUUGAAUUCUUUGGUUAAAGAUAGGUUGAUUAGUAUGGUUUGGAAAGUUUAUAAGAAGAUGAUUAAGGGUGGGGUUGUUCCGAAUAUUCAUACUUACAAUGUGUUGAUUCAUGCUUGUUGCAAGUCUGGGGAUAUAGAAAAGGCGGAAGGAUUGGUGAGUGAGAUGGAGUUGAGGUGUGUGUUUCCUGAUCUUUUCACCUUUAAUACUUUGAUAUCGUUGUAUUCAAAAACAGGUAUGCAUUAUGAAGCUUUGUGUGUUCAAAGUAGAAUGGAAUUGGCAGGAGUUAGUCCUGACAUGGUGACAUACAAUUCUCUUAUGUAUGGAUUUUGUAGAGAAGGAAGGAUGACAGAAGCUGUGAAACUUUUCCGUGAUAUCAAAGGUUGUGUUCCUAAUCAUAUAACUUACACUACAUUGAUUGACGGGUAUUGUAGAGUGAAUGACCUCGAAGAAGCUUUAAGAUUGUGCGAGGUAAUGAAGUCUAAGGGGUUGUAUCCUGGAGUUGUUACAUAUAAUUCUAUUCUCCGGAAAUUAUGUCAAGAAGGCAGGAUGAGGGAUGCGAAUAAGCUUUUGAAUGAGAUGAGUGAAAAGAAUGUUGAGCCUGACAAUGUUACAUGUAACACUUUGAUUAAUGCUUAUUGCAAAAUAGGAGAUAUGAUGUCUGCAGUGAAAGUGAAGAACAGGAUGUUGGCUUCUGGGUUGAAGCUGGAUGCUUUUACCUAUAAAGCACUCAUUCAUGGAUUUUGUAUGGUACCAGAAAUGGACAGUGCUAAAGAUCUUUUAUUUAACAUGCUUGAUGCCGGGUUUUGCCCAAGUUAUUGCACAUAUACAUGGAUUAUAGAUGCUUACUGCAACCGCGGCAAUGAAGAAGCAGUUAUAAAAUUACCAGAUGAGUUUGUUAGUAAAGGUAUAAUUGUUGAUGUCUCUCUGUACAGGGCUUUAAUAAGGAGGUUAUGUAAACGAGAAAGGCUGGAUUGUGCUGAAAAGGUUUACAGUCUUAUGCAAGAGAAGGGUAUAUUAGCAGACAGUGUAGUAUUUACUAGUCUAACAUAUGCUUACUUGAAAGCGGGAAAGUCAAGUGUAGUUUCCAGGAUGUUAGAUGAAAUGUUCAAGAGGAGGUUGAUGGUAACACGCAAGAUCUACAGGUCUUUUAAUGCAUCGUAUGCCAGUGAAAGUGACAUCUUAUGUCUCUUUUGGAAUCAUAUGGUCGAGAGAGGCCUUAUGUCAAAAACUGUUAUGAUGACUGAAAUGCAGCAAACAUAAAUCAAUGUUGGCGAUGUCACUUGGAGUCUUAUAGUAGACUCGAUCUUUCAUACCACAAGGGUUUGUGACACAAACUUCCUGUGAAUAUACAUGUCUUGAAAUGUGUUAGACUGUUAUGGACUCGAGGCACUCAAAGUUAUAUGCAAAUGUGAAAGGGUUAGGAGACAAGUUUAUUUCUUCUGCCUCUCAUUUUGGUAUCUAGCCUUUUACUCGCUCUUAUUGCUCUAGACUCAUGGUGCAAACCAAGAAAGCUUAUGGUAUGGGUGGUUUUCCAGGCAGACCACAAUCUUGUAAUGCCUGUUUAUCUUAUGGAAUAAACAACUUCAAGGAGGUGCUGAUUUUGCUCAGAAUUUAUAAUGGCACUGAAAACAACUACCAAAAGCACCACACAGCCAUGGUGUGCUAAGGAUUGCUUGUCUAAGUUACCCAGCAGCUGUGGUCUCUACUUGUUGAAGAGCUGCUUCCGACCAUAGUGUGGCAGUUGCAUAUAAAGUGCAUCAGCUUCAGCUUGGUCUGAACACGAAUGUAUGGGGUUUCUACAAAAUUAUAUUGGUUGUGGGUUUGGAGGAUGCUGAUAUCUUGAUCUACCAAGCAGUUCAGAAUCCACAUCUUGUAAAUGACAGGUAAAUGGAUGUUUUUGUUUUGGCAUAUGUGAAUCUCGAGAUUAAUCAUAUACCCUAUUGCAGUGCUUAUUGAUUUAUUUAAUGUCUUUGAUUAAUUGAUAUUUGUAUGCCUUGUUUUGUUUUAGAUAAAAGAGUAUACAAAACAACUAGGAUGGUACUUGAUGGAACAAUUUCAUUACUUUAUAUUCUCAAAACCCAUUUGGAUUGUAUCUCUAUACAGUUACAAAGAAAAUUUCAAACUGUUAACGUCAACCGACUUGCCUUGGUGCCUUCAUGCUUAGCCUAAAGUGCCUCUAGCAAAGCUGCUAGUGCAAAAAUUUCGUAAUCAGAACAAGUGCAACCACAAUCAUGACCAUCUUUGCAACCACACUCAUCCCACUUUUUUGUCCUUCUCUGCGUCCUUUUCUCCAUUCCUACUUCUGUUUGGACUGCAACUUUGAUAGAUACCUGUAGUUUAGGUGGUUUGCCUUCAAGAGCACGGCCGCUAGUACUUCUUGGAACCAUCAUGAGCCACUUAUCCAAUUCCAUGUUUGGUGACUCGAGCACUUCUUUCCAUGGAACCUCUGCCCUGCCCAGUAGUUGGGAUCCCCCGAUGUUUCCAAAAACAGGCACUGUGCUCCUCCACCGGAGCUCAAAAACCACAGUGUCUUGCACAAACCUAUUGCUUCCAUUACACUCCAAGGAAAUGGACUCGUUCCAGAUGUGAUCAGACUUGGCUGAGAUUUCUCGAGUGUUCAGACCAACUCUUUUGCCACCCCCUGCAGAAAGAUAGUAUCUAACGAACAGGUUUCCCGUGGUCUUGAGGAACUCUAUGUUUUUGGCUUGUAUGAUUCUCAAGUCACAGCUAAGAGAAGAAAGCUCGAGUGAAAUACCCAUUUUGUGUGUGUUUGAGGGAAACUGGAGAUGGAGUUGAUUGAUUGUGUGUUGAAGACAAGUAAUGUGGCUCUUAUAUAUAGUGUCUAGGAUAUUGGAGGGGAAGGUGGCAUAUCUUUUUGAGGAAGCUGCAAUUAUCCAUGUUAAAAAUGUGAUCAGAGCAUAUAGUUACACUAAGUAAGAUCUGCAAUCUUGAUAUUAUAAUGUGAUAUGAUUCAUAUUGGGCAUUAUUAAGGAAGGCAUGGGAGAUUGAGUGGAAGAUAAUGAUCGCUUAUUAUAUAUAAGCUCCUUUAGAUGCUUGAAGAGCUGGAUUUCAAAAAACGACCCUGCUUGAAAGUUGCAAUUAGCAACAUUUUGAGUCCAGUGCUUUUUGACCAAGCAUGGAGUAUAUAACUACAUAUGAUAUACUUGAAAGUGGAAUCUGUAUAUAUGUGGACUGUGGUUUGUGCUUCCACCCACAGAUCCUUUGACUUCAGAAUCUGCACCUUGUGGUCUUGUAUUGUUGGAGCUGUGGGUGGUCUGGUAUUGCUGGAGCUGUUGCUCCAUGGAAAUUAAAGAACACCAUAAACAAAAAGAAAAGAUGCACCAAUUUUAUAUACGCUGGUGACUCAUUGAUAAAGAGACUAGUUUCGAGAUUUUUUUUAAAGCAAACCAGUAUAUCACUAAAGAUAACCAAGUGAGGAUUAUAUUGUGUAAGUUAGUUUUGGACCUCAAAGAAUCGGAUGAGACAUGUCUAGUAGUGAGUCAUGGAAGUUCUGUUGCACAGAAGUCUAAACCAAGAGCUCAGGGAAGCGUCAUUUUGGAGUUGUAGAUCAAGAGAAAAUCUUACUUGCGACAGCCGCACCACGUGUCUUGUGCGACCCAUCAGUCGCACAGCGACACGUUUUUUUUCUUUUUCUUUUUCCGGGCAGCUCUUCUUCUUCCUUCCUCUCUCUUCUCCGGCGAAACCGAUCCCCUCAGCUCCCUCUGCCCAGCCGCCGCCUAACACCCCUCGCCGUCACCUCCACCAUAAGCCUGACAACCUGCCGCCGUCGAGCCGCGCCUCCACCAACCUGUGCAAAUCACACAGAGGAAGGAAGAAGAAGAGAGAGGAAGGAAGAAGAAGAAGGCAGGUGUGAAAAAAUAAAAAAAAACAUGUGUCAAAUGAUGAUUGGGUGCGUAUGUGCCAGGUGGUGCGGCUGUUGCACCUAAGAAUUUCUCGUAGAUCAAUUAAUCUUAGCUUGGCCUGAAGCUCUCCGGAGCUUCGGGGCAAUGCUACUUUGUAGUUGUUAACCAAUUUCAUUACUAUGGUUGGCUUAAUCUUAGCUUCACAUGCAUAGCAAGAGUGAUAAUUUUUCAUUUUCCACGGAAAUUCAAUUGAUUAUAAAAUCAAAUAUGUUGUGAAUAUGUUCGUAGCUUAUGCCAGUACAUAAUACUAAAGUCAUUAUUCAAAUCAUUUGUAUCUCCAUUCUACAAUCCUAGUAUACUAUCAUUGCUCCCACAUGCCUCAGUUUGUUGGUGAGUCGUGUCUUAGUUAAGGUGUUUAACUUACAACUUUGAGGUUAUAGGUUCAAACUUCACAGAUAUAUGUAGAGUGUGUGAGUUAUUAAUAAAAUAUUUUUUAAAAAAAUAAAAUAGUAUACUAUCAUUGCUUUUGAACAACUUCAAUAUAUCUGAUCACAUUAUCUUAGGGUAAAAUACCAAGAUUGCCUUAGAUUCUGCAAAUUAGCCAACUGAACUUUGGAUUUGGGAAACAAAUUGAAACUGAUACCCUCUGCAGCUGCAGAAUGAAUUAAGCACUCUAAGAUAUACUUGAAGUGGCCAACUGGGCGAUUAAAACCGCUGCAACAUGUAGCUAGUAUCAUACCAAGUGCAAAAAGAUACGACUUUACUACGCAAAAGGCUUCGUGAAUAUAACUAAUGUAUAUUCCCUCGAGUAUCCUGAGCAGGAUAUGCCCACUAAUUCAAUUAGUUGGGUUAAAAAAAUAUAAUUGGUCUACAUAAAGGAGAUUUUGAGUUCUUCAGCUUUCGUAUUUGUAUAAUGAGAAGGUUGCACUGGAUCACUGAUCAACCAGUUGGAGGGAGAUUAUGCUUCACACAUAAGAUAUUGUUAUGGCUCUUAUCCUAGAUCCUUUGGAUUAUCUUCCCAUGAGAGAGAUUAACAAUCUUUGAUACUUUUCUUUUGUAUUCAACCUUUUUAAAACCCUGUGAAGCAUAUCCAACAACCUAGCCAGUACUAUUCACGGAGAAUGAAUUGGCUCAAGGCCUCAAGUAGUGUAACCAGUCUUAGCGACAUCUCUCUAGGCAAUCAGAGAGGUCCUAGAUCCCUCUUCCAUCAUAAGAAAAGAAAAGAGAUAAAAUUGAGCUGCAUUUUUAUCAAUAUUAGUAAAUACAUACUAAACUUAGAGUCGCAGCUGCUAAAGUUGAUAAAAAGCUAAACAAAUUCUCUAAAAUAGCUAAGGAGUUAAGAUAGAGACUAUCAAAGAUGCUCUUAGUAUCUGAUUUAGGCUAUCGUGGUACAAAAUACAGGGGAUUAAUUGCUUCCAUGUUCCUAUUAAAAACAACUAAUUUUCUUCUACUUUCGUUUUUAUUUCACUAAUUUUCGGUUUGGCACCCGUUUUCACCGUUUUGUUUUGGCAAGUAAUUUGAAGUUUUUAUUUAUAGCAACUCUUGCCAAGAAUAGAAAUUUAAAAUACCUGGUUAGACCAACUUAUUCGAUUAUCACCUUAAAAACAAAAAAUCAUGCUAUUCCUAUAUAUUGAAAUAAACUCAGAGGAACGGAUCUUCAGUAUGCCACACUUGAUCCGAUGCAUUGCUCUCAUUUGUUUCUUUGUACCGGUUGCUUGGAUUCUUAUGGUCCUCAUCGUCUGGUUCCCAUCUACAAUGAGUUAUACAAUCAUAAACAACAUUAACAUUCCCCAACACCUGACAACAGAUACCGGUAGUACAACAGAUGAAGAACCAUUCCUGCUUUCCACCUGCGUCGAUCCAAGCCUUUCAGUGUACGUAUACACUUUGCCGCCACGGUUCAACGUCGACUUCCUCGACCGCUGCCGCACCAUUGCCGCCACCUACACCUUGUGUCCCUCCGUCGCCAACUCGGGACUCGGCCAGCCACUCUUUGACGACACACCGGGGAAGGUUACUAGCUGGUUCAACACCAUGCAGUUCGCCUCGGAGCUCAUCUUCCAUGCACGCCUGCUCAACCAUCCUUGCCGAACGUGGGAUCCCACACGUGCCAGUCUAUUUUACGUCCCCUUCUACGGCGGCCUCUACUAUCUAAACCAAUUCAAAGAGUCCAACUCCACCGCACGCAACCAGCUUGCGGUGGACUUGGCCAAUUACAUUCAGGCACAGCCCAUGUGGAAGAGGACCAUUGGUAAAGACCACUUUAUGGUCCUAGGGAGAGUCGCAUACGAUUACAUGGGGAUCGAAAAAUUUGACAAAGCCAACAACCUGCUAAUACUACCGGCCGCGAGAAACAUGUCGGUGUUUAUCACAGAGAAAUCUCAGUCCAGCGAGAACCAACAACGUCGGAAGAAAUGGUAACAUGGCAAGACAAGGUGAGGGAAAUGGAGAGGCCUCUCACUUGUUUUCCUUUGUAGGUGGGCCAAGAAAGACUAGGGGGAUGCGAAAGGAGUGCAUAAGGCAAUGUGCUGAGUCGACUCGUUUCAAGCUCUUAAAUUGAGGCGGAUCCGGUGGCGGUAAGAUGUGCCUGCAGCCAUGUGAGGUCCUGAAGGUGAUGACUCAGUCGGUAUUUUGCUUACAAGCGCCCGGAGACACGCCGACGAGGCGGUCGACGUUCUAUUCAGUGCUGAUGGGCUGCAUAUAUACCUGUUUUCUUUUCAGACAAGUCUGCUUACAACCAGUACGCAUGGUUUUUACCUGAAGAUGCGAGCGCGUACUCUGUGCUCAUAGACGAGAAGAGCAAUGCGAGUAAGAAAAUUGAAGAAGAAUUGCUGAAGAUUUCGAGCGACAGGGUUCAGAGGAUGCGUGAAAAGCUUAUAGAUUUGAUUCGGAGCUUGACAUAUGCCCAUCCAAUUGCAUCAAAUUUAGGGUUUGAGGAUGUUGCAGUUGCGUCAUUGGCCAAGCACGUCAAAAAUACUAUAAAUUAGAUAAUAGAAUGUGAGAGUAAAAUUUGAUAUGGAUCAUAGAUAUGUAAAAGUAAAAACGUUAAGUUUUCGAAAACUAUGUUGUCUAGCAGCAUGUUCUAUAUACUAGCUACUCUAAUAGACUAUGCAAAUAUGCAAUCAACUGGAUUCUAGUAACGUGGAUCACAGGAAUGCUUCAAGCAACUGAAACUAUCUACAUACAAACAUAAUAAUUUGGGUUGUUUUUAAUUUAGCAGAAAAUUCUAGUAUACCAUAUGAUAUAGCAUACCUCACAAAAUAUGUGAUUAUCAUUGAUUAAAGAGUCAACUAAAUAAUCAUAUAAUAAUCAUUUACCCCUUAAAAACUCUCAUGUGUCACACAAUUAGACAUAUUUACAAUAAGUAUGUCAUACCAUAUAGUAUGAGUACGAAGACAAACCCGUUUUCAGCCAAGAACAUAUUGUCCACAUAUUCUCCUUCCAAUAAUCGUCCAAUUUGAUCACACAUUUGUACCCACAUGCAUGCGUGUUCCACAAACCAACUCCUUGUUUAAAUUAUAUUCCUUUUCCAUCCGUCUACCCUCUUCUUUUUUUUUUAAUUAUUUCGAUAUAUAUUGUAGUCGUUAUUCUUGUAUUAUUAUGGAGCAUUGCUCUCACAAAUUACUGUAUUCUGUAAUGAAUUAUCUGCUGCAUCACCCUGUAUGUGCCUUCCAGUGGACAGUGGUCUCCUUUUGUCGCAUAUAUCAAAUGGUUUUAUUUUAUUUAAUGGGUCUCCUUAUUUAAUAGGGAAUUAGAACACUUCUGUUGUGGCAUUGUGAUGUGUUAGGUUCUUCCUAACACAAAGGGAUCGUGCUGGUUACAUGGGGCUCGUUUGCUUCCGAUGUCAAAAUGAACUUCUUCCCCUUCCUUUUUCCAACAUGCAUGUUCAAGUCUUGUGUUCCACCAAAGGGGGAAGUACGUAGGAGGCUGAAGAGUUGUGGGCAGGCUUUGGAGAAAGUAUAUAGGCUGAAGUACGUACGUGAUAGCUAGACAGUCUUAGAUGUUGUUAUCUAUAAACUCUUGAUAACGCAAGUUAAAGAAGAGUGAUUGAAAACAAACCUUUUAUAGUCUCAAGUGUUACAAUGUCCCCGGCCGAAUGCAUCCCAAACCGGUAAAGUAAUCCUUAUAUAGCACCGGUACCAGUUAAUCCAAGUCCAACGAGAGAGACACAUGCAUCCUCAAGGCGAUGUCAGACAUAUAUUUUAUUUUUGGUCGAACAUAGAAUUAGCAAAAUCGAUUACUCAUACUAUUUUUCAAUAGUAUUAAUAUGUGGCUAUCUAGUUGCUAUAGCGUCCUCAGUAAGAACCUGCCGACAAUAUAGAAUGGUGAGCUAAACUACAACCUUGAUUUCAGCCGUUUAUUAAGACUCAAGACUUAAUAAUCUUAUAAUAUAGACUGCACUGUACGUAUUCUAGUUUUUGCUUCUUUGGCUUCUUCAUCUUCAUGUUUUCCGGUGAGAAAAAACCUCCAAUCCUUCUCCGGUUCAGCUCUUCCCUUCUUCUCUUUCUAUCAGCUGCUUUCCUCAUCUUUUGGUUCCCAUCGUCUCCCGACACUCUUAUCCAACAAAAACAUGAUCAUGACCACAUUCAACAUCAUGAUUCUCCUCAUGUUAAUCAAAAUCGAAACCAGAACAAUAACAACAGCAACAGCAACAGCAGCAGCAGCAAAAACGACGACGUUCUCACAGCCCCAACCAAACCAUACGUCACAGUUCCGAAGUGCAACCAACAAGUCUCCGUCUACGUAUACACAUUGCCGGCGAAGUUCAACCUCGGACUCCUUCACAACUGCCACGACCUCAACUUUCGUACCGACAUGUGCCCCCAUGUAGCUAACUCCGGACUCGGCCAGCCACUUGCGACUAUAGGCUCCACGUUAGAAACCAACAACAGCAAUAGCUGGUACGCCACCAACCAGUUCGCGGCGGAGAUGAUCUUCCACGCGCGGCUCCUCAACCACCCCUGCCGCACGUACGACCCCGCGCGUGCCACUCUCUUCUACGUACCCUACUACGGCGGCCUUCACGUCUCGAGCAAGUUCCGGGAACGGAACCAAACCGCGCGCGACGAGCUCGACGUCGGCUUGGUCGACUAUCUACAAUUCCAACCCACGUGGCAGAAACAAAAGGGAAAAGACCACUUUAUGGCCCUAGGGCGCGUCGUACGUGAUUUCAAGUCGUCGUGGGUUGGAGCCGGCCGACUCCUUAAACUCGCCGGAGUCGAAAACAUGUCGGUUCUGAUCAUCGAGAGAAACCCUUUCAACGGCUCGAACCAACAUGGCAUACCAUACCCUUCGUACUUCCACCCCUCCACUUGGCACGACAUGUCCACGUGGCAGACUAAGAUGAGAGAAACUCACCGGCGCCACUUGUUCUCUUUCAUCGGAGCGAAGAGAAGGAAGGCGGCGAUCCGGAACAAGUUCAUAAAGCAAUGCGGCGAGUCAACUCGGUGCAUGUUAUUGAAUUGUCGUGGGGGUAACGACGAAGCUAGAAAAUGCCAAGAGCCGAGUGAGGUGUUGAAGGUGAUGAGUGAAUCGGUAUUUUGUUUACAAGCCCCCGGCGACACGUUCACGCGGCGGUCAACGUUUGACUCGGUGCUGGCCGGUUGCAUUCCGGUGUUCUUUUCGCCGCACACGGCGUACAGUCAGUAUCAGUGGUACUUGCCGGAGGAAAGAAGCGAGUAUUCUGUGUAUAUAGAUCAGAGAAGUAAAGCGAGGAAGAGAAUAGAAGAUGAGCUGUUGAAGAUUCCGAGCGAGAAGGUCAAGAGGAUGAGGGAGAAGAUCAUAGGUUUGAUACCGAGUUUGACGUAUGCUAACCCGAAUGCGAGUGAUUUUGGGUUUGAAGAUGCUGUUGAUGUUGCGCUUGCAUCAUUGGCCAAGAAGGUCAAGAAAUUUGUUGAUUGAUUUUGAUUUUGGGAGGUGCUAACUGAAUUUUUUUUAUGUUUUUGAAGUGGAAAACAGUACGUAUUGGUUGAGAAUUUUAUUCGCGUAGCAACAUGAUCUGAAGAUACAUAUAUAUAGUUAAUUAGUUCUACAUCACCCAGUCAAAUAGUGGUUCAAAUUUCUCGUCUACUCAUGUAUAUAUCUAAUAAUUCAUUGGAUGCAGACACAAACAUAUAUAUAUGAUUCUUUAAUUUACUAUGUAAUUUUUCUAAAACUUGUUCAAGAGAAAUGAGGUAUCUUUUAUCCACAAUGAGGUAUCAUUAGAAAGAAGAAGCUUCUUCUUCGCACAUAAACCCUAAUCCUAGGAUAAAUUCUUCGCGCAUAUCUGCCACAACCUAAUCUGUAGAAGCUCCAUCUCAGGAUAGCCAUCAAAGUCUUCACAAACCACCUAAUUAAGACAUACUCAUUUUUGCAUUCGUAAUUGCGCCUGUUAGCUCAAAUUUGCAUUCAGCAUAGUAAAAUGAUUCUAGCUUUGUUGAAUGCUAAACUAUGUACCAAGCGUCUAAGCCAUUUAUCGAGUAAAAUGUAUCAUCUUCAAUCCCAAUUUAUUUCUUGACGGCUAGGAGGGAAACGUUCUGACAUGAUCUCCAGACACAGAGUAGUGUCUGAACUUAAAAGGAAAACUCUAGAGUACCCACCAGUUUUUUAUACCGUGGUUUUUUUAAUUAUUUUUACAAAUAUAAUUAAGGACAUUUGGUUAAAACUUUUAUAAUAAAUGUCCGUAUGUUGUAAUUACGAAGUGCAAACCAAAUUUACAUAUUUAUGGGUUUAAUUAGGGUCGAAUUGUAAAUUUUCAGAUUUGGACCAAAUAGACCAUUUUUCACGUAAUAUGAUUCUUAGUUUUAUAAUUGAGUUAUGUUUUUUGUAUUGAGAAAAUAAUUAUAUCUUUCACAACACUUUUACAAACAUAAAGACAUUUGGUUGAAAAUUUUGUAAUAAAAUGUUCAUAUGUUGUAAUUACGAGGUCGAUCUAGACCAAAAUUACAGAUUCAUGACCCCUUUUACAAAAUGGAGAACGAAUGUGUUGUCGAGAUGAUAAAUUUUCAAAUUUAGACCAAAUAAACCAUUUGUUCUCGUUCAUGUAAUAUAGUUCUUGGUUUUGUAAUUGAGUGGUGUAUUUUGUAUUAAGAAAAUAAUAACAUUUUUCCCAACGCUUUUACAGACAUAAAGACAUUUGAUUAAAAUUUUUGUAGUAAAUGUUCAUAUGUUGUAAUUACGAGAUAUGAACCAGAUUUAUAAAUUUAUGACCCGUUUUACAAAAUUGAAGACGAAUGUGUUGUUGAAAUUGUAAAUUUUCAGAUUUGGACUAAAUAGAUCAUUUGUUCUUGUUUAUGUAAUAUAGUUCUUGGUUUUGUAAUUGAGUGUUGUUUUUUGUAUUGAAAAAAUAAUUACAUUUUUUAUAACGCUUUUACAAAGGUAAGGACAUUUGGUUGAAACUUUUGUAAUAAAUGUCUAUAUGUUGUAAUUACAAAGUCUGCUCUAAAUUUACGUGUUCUGAACGAAUUUACUUAUAUUUGUGUAAUUGUGUUGUUAAGUUUGUAAAAUAAAAAAAAUGAAGACGCCACAUGUCAGAAUCUAAAUGGGUAAAUAAAAAAAAAUGUAUUAGGUAUUGGUGGGUAUGCUAGCCUGUCUUCACAAACCACCUAAUUAAGACAUACUCAUUUUUGCAUUCGUAACUGCGCAUAUUAGCUCAAAUUUGCAUUCAACAUAGUAAAAUGAUUCUAGCUUUGUUGAAUGCUAAACUAUGUACUAAGCGUCUAAGUCAUUUAUCGAGUAAAACGUAUCAUCUUCGAUCCCAAUUUAUUUCUCGAUGGCUAGGAGGGAAACAUUCUGACAUAAUCUCCAGACACAGAGUAGUGUCUGAACUUAAAAAGCAUUGUUGAGGAAAAUGUAUGAUCUAGAUUAUAAACAAACUAAACUAUAAAAUGAUAUCAUCAAAUGCGAUUAGAUGAUAGCUAUAUAUAAGCUUUAUGAAUUGAUUAAAAAUAAUUUCGAGUCUGUUGUGUCAAACUAUUUGUUCAUGUUUGGUAGCUGAGGGAAUAAACUUGUCACGCUUAAUUAAUAUUAUAAUAAUACAAUACGAAUGUCAUAUCUUUGGAUAUCAUUGUGCAAAUUGAGUAAAAUGUACUGUCUGCAAACUGAAGGUGUAUCUAUGGCAACAAAUUAUUGUACUUUACUAUAACUAUGAACAGUAAUUACACGAUGAUAAGAAUCGGAUAAUCACAUCGCAUGAUAAUUCACGUAAAAUCUAGAAACUGUCCUGCGGAAUCUAAAACUCCCAAGUACAAACACAAAAGAAAGAAAUAUAUGAUGUGAUAUGGAUGUUGCAUGCUCAUCAGAAACAAGCAUCCAACAUACAACAACAACACAAAGCAGCACAGCAUCCUUUCCAGAAUCCAUCACCCUUCGACUUGGUCUCUACCGGAACAGGAACAGGGUUUUGGUCGCCGGCAUUGGAUCUUGCCGGAUAACCAGCAGGUGGUGGAGCCGAAUAAGGCGGCUUAGGGUAGGCAGCAACAGAACUAGUUGUGCUUGAACUCAUCCUGAUUAAUAUGAUCACGUACAGAAGGAAUUAGAGAAUGAUGAAUACUUUGCAAGUUUGCAGGGAAGAGGUUUGAGAUAUUGAGAAGAGGAUAGACGAAGGUGUACUUAUAUAGAGAGAAAAGCAGGUGAUAUUUGGUGAAGUGGUUGUUUCUUAGAAGGAAUAUCAAUGGUGGCUUUUACGCAGGCGGCUUCACCGCGUGUCGUGGAGACUGGGGAAGAAGAAGGAAUAACAAAGACGGCGCGAAGAAUACAAGGGCCUGCUAUAACUAUUUUAAUUAGGUAGAAGUAUGUCGUUGCUUUUAGAAUAUCGGAAGGUAUAUGAGCUUCGGUUGAUUUUGCUUCGAAGGCCCAAUUCAUCUCCAUCUUUUCUUUUGGCGUAGGAUGUUUGCGGAGCGGAUGCAGUGCACCACGGUGCACUUGAACCAGCUAACUAGGGUAACGGAACUAUAUCAACGUUAAGUUAGCAAACUUUCAAAAAAAAUAGAAACGCAGUAAAACUACAAUUACCUAUCUUAUUAUAACCCUACUGAGUACUAACUGGAGAGAAGACGACGAGGACGACCAUCACUAGGGAUUUUGGCGAGCUCGGAUCGGAGGCAGUCAGUAAGAAUCGAGGUGAGUGAGUGAAUGACAUCGAGUUGCAGGAAGUGCUUGAUGGCCAAUCAGUAAGAAUCGACGGCGUCGGCGGGGUGAUAAGGGAUCGGAGGUCCCGGAGGCGGAGAGGAGAGUCGCCGUGGAAGGGAAGCAGGGGCCGACGAGGCGUACGUGGAGAGAGAGAGAGAGAGAGAGAGAGAGAGAGAGAGAGAGAGAGAGAGAGAGAGAGAGAGAGAGAGAGAGAGAGAGNNNNNNNNNNNNNNNNNNNNCUAGCGAUAACUCAAAUGAGGCUAGCUAUAAUUUAUUACAUUCCUUGGAAGAUAUUUCAUGUGAUAUAUAAAUAUAUUUAAACUAUUUAAUUUCUAUUUGAAGAAUAAUGUUCAUGUAAUGCU
rnacentral:lncRNA from 1 species